UCGGUCGAGGCCAGGUAUGAGCAGCUCCUGAGACUGAUGGAUGGAUGAUGUAUGCAUGCAUGAUACUAUGGUCAUGCUGGGACCGGAUUCACUGUUUUGACCCUAUUUGGAGAAGUUCAGCACAAAAUGAACCAUGUUGGAAGCUUAUCUGGGGCGAUGAUGAUGAAACAUGGCUGACAUAAACUUGUCUUCGGGCACCAAAAACACACUCCCCCUUCUUUUGAAACCUUUUCAUUCUCACAGAAUAUUGACGGCUCUGUCUUGGAUGGUCAUUCUGUUGAGUGAUAACCAGAGGAGCUCGACUACAAUUUUGGGGGCUGAUCUGGUGAAAGAAGAUGGUGGAGCUAGGUUGUAUGAUCUAUCAAAGGCGAAUCUGAGCCCUCUCAAAUCUCAAUGCAACUAAUAUUGUGGCCUCUACACUUUUAUUUACUUCUAUCACCUCUUUAUGUUUAAAAGUGAUGAAUUGUCGUGGUUGUGGCAUUUGCUAUCUCAUUAGGAGCAGCUGCUCACAAAUCACCUCUCGUGGUGUUUGGUUUGCUUUCUCAUGAUUUUGUUUUCCAUGGUGGGAACCACUUCGGUGCAUUCGGGCUUUUUCUUUUCGGUUUUACUUUUCCUUGAAUGGUUGUGAUAAUUCUACUGUCCCUUGGAUAGCUUUUGAGAUUAUCUUAUUGGGUUGGGGGUCAGUUUGCUUGUUUGAAUUGCUAUUUGGCUUUUGAUAUUGUCAUCCUUCUAUACGCUUUAUGUACUUAUUAUCAGUUUGCACUUUUGGCACUCCCCACUUCUUUACUGGUUUCAACUUAAGGGUCGAUGGAUUUUGGCAGCUUGGCUGCAUGUUGCUUCGGAUUCGGUACUGUCACCAUCUUCCUCUGCCCCCCCCCCCCCCCCCCCCCCCCCNNNNNNNNNNNNNNNNNNNNNNNNNNNNNNNNNNNNNNNNNNNNNNNNNNNNNNNNNNNNNNNNNNNNNNNNNNNNNNNNNNNNNNNNNNNNNNNNNNNNNNNNNNNNNNNNNNNNNNNNNNNNNNNNCCGAAACCCUGAACCGAAUCAUCAGAGCUCUUGUUGCCGCAUCACCGACCCAUCGUCCGGGUGGGUGCCGCGUCAGUCCCUCAGGCUCUACGGUGCCGCCAAUCCAUUGGCUUGGAUUCAGUUGUGCCAUGGGCUGGGAACCGUACAGUGAUGUCUGAUCGGUCGUCCGUGCGGGAGGUUUGGUCGGUCGAGGCCAGGUAUGAGUAGCUCUUGAGCAGGAUGGAUGCAGAGGGCGAUGAUGAUGAUGACGACGAGUGUGGCUGAAAUAAAGGUGUCUAGACAACCUAUAGCCAGCAGUCGGCUAUACUAUUAACCAUGCUCUAAAUAGAAUCGGUGAACGCAUUAGAGUUGCUCUUAGAGCCCACCCUUACUUCUCUUGCAGCCUGUUCAAUUCAUCGCUGAUGCUGGAUGUUCUGUGGCUCGGACGGUCAUCCUGAUGAGUGAUAACCAGGGCAGUUCUCCUCUACACUGAUGGGUAGAUUUUGCAGCAAGAGAUGUGGUUGGGUUUCAAGAUGAAAUGCAAAACUGAGCCAUCUUCUUUUGCUUAUCCUCUCUCUCUCAAACCCUAAACCAAAUCAGUUGAGUUCUCAUUGCCGACUCGUUGACCAAUCGUCUGUGUGGUUGGUGUGUCAGUUCCACACCGCUACGGCGCCGCCACCGCUAUCCCAUUGGCUUCGAUUCGGGUGCGGCGUGGGCUGGGAACCGUACGGUGUUGUCUGAUGCGUCGUCUGAGCAGGAGGGUUGGUCUGUCGAGGCCAGGUAUGAGCAGCUCCUGAGAUGGUGGACGGAUGGAUGUAUGCAUGCAUGUAUGUAUGUAUAUCAUGGUCAUGUUGCUUGUGGUUCGGUGUCCUUUUUGGAAAAAACUGAGGGGCGAUGAUGAUGCCUGUGGCUGAAAUAAUUAUGUCUUGAGCAAUCAGGACAUCUGUGGUGCGUGGGUACUAAAUAGGGCCUGAACGGGUGCUUGCGUUGGAGAUGCCCUUAAGGGCCCUCCCUUGGCUCUCUUGCAGCCUGUUCAAUUCAUUACCAAUUUUGGAUGUUCUGCGCCGCGGACGGUCAUUCUGUUGAGUGAUAACCAGAUCAGUUCUCUUGCAUCAAGAUGGGUAGAUUAUGCAGCAAGAGAUGCGGAGUGUUGGGCUUCAAGAUGAAACACAAAACUGAGCCCUCUUUUGAUAUGCUACAAAUACUAAAGUAGUGAUCUAAACGCUCUUAUAUUUCUUUACGGAGGGAGUAUUUGUGAACAUAGGGAGUAUCUAUCUAUCAGGGGCGAUGAUGAUCAAACAUGGCUGAUAUAAACCUGUCUUCGAUUAUUCAAGAAGCUGUGGGUAUCAAAAACCAUCUCUCCCCUCUUUUGGGACCUUUUCAUUCUCACCAAAUAUUGAUGGCUCUGUCUUGGAUGGUCAUUCUGUUAAGUAAUAACCAGCAGAGCUUGACUUCAAUGUUGGGGGUUGAUCUGGUGAAAGAAGAUGGGGCUAGUGUGAUCUAUCAAAGGCGAAUCUGAGCCCUCCUACAUCCGAUUCAUAAAAAAGUUGGAACAUCUUAUAUUUGUGAACUGAGGGGAGUAUCUAUCUAUCUAUCUAUCUAUGAGGGGCAAUGAUGAUCAAACAUGGCUGACAUAAACCUGUCUUUGAUUAUUUGAGGAGCUUUGGGUAUAAAAAACCCUCUCUCCCCUCUUUUGGGACCUUUUCAUUCUCAACGAAUAUUGACGGCUCUGUCUUGGAGGGUCAUUCUGUUGAGUGAUAACCAGCAGAGCUUGACUUCAAUGGUGGGGAAUGAUCUGAUGAAAGAAGAUGGUGGGGAUAGUAUGAUCUAUCAAAGGCAAAUCUGAGCCCUCCUACAUCCGGUUCAUAAAAAAGUUAGAACAUCUUAUAUUUGUAAAUAGAGGGAGUAUCUAUCUAUCUAUCUAUCAGGGGCGAUGACGAUCAAACAUGGCUGACAUAAACCUGUUUUUGAUUAUUUAAGGAGCUGUCGGUAUCAAACACCUGCUCUCCUCCCCUCUUUUGGGACCUUUUCACUCUCACCGAAUAUUGACGGCUGUCUUGGAUGGUCAUUCUGUUGAGUGAUAACCAGCAGAGCUUGACUUCAAUGGUGGGGGAUGAUCUGGUGAAAGAAGAUGGUGGGGCUAGUAUGAUCUAUCAAAGGCGAAUCUGAGCCCUCUCAAUGCAACUUAUAUUGUGCGUAAAAAGUUAGUAUGUUUAAUAAAGGUAAUAAAUUGUUGUGGUGUUUGGUUUGCCUUCUCAUGAUUUUGUGGUUCAUGGAGGGAACCAGUUUGGUGCUUUCAGGCUUUGCUCAAGCUCGUCUCGUUGUGGUGGUCCUUGUACCGGUAGUGUUUGAAUGUGUUUACUCCCUUCUUUUCGUGGGGUUAAAUGUGUGAAGCAUGGUCAGCAAAUGUUUGCCCUCUUUUCCUGUCUAUGCAUGUCCUCUUUUUCGUCCCCUUAUUUUUUUACUGGUUCUUAUGGCAGUGAUGUAAAUUCAAGUCGGCAAGUUGUCAACAUUUUUUCUACUGUUUUAGCAUAGCACAGCAACUGCUAAUUGGCCUUUAAGAAUACAAUUUGGCCGGUUUGCUUUUUGCUGAUGACCAUUCUAAUGCUUAUACAAGCCAAUGCGUGGAAAACCACAAAAAUCUUGUGUUGCGAAAAUACCACUUCUAUCUUUUCCUUUUUGAGAAUUUGUCUUUCUUGCCAAGCUUGUAUCCAUGUAUACAUAAAAGAUAUGUUGAGAGUUUGGUUUUGGUUUUAGUUCUUUUGGUAUGCAAAGGACUGUUUUGCAAGUUAACGUUUUGGAUGCCGCCUGUGCGGGAGGCGUCCGCGGCGGCGCGGGCUGGGGAACGAGCGGCGGGGCCCAUGCUGCGCUCCGGUCGAGGGCUUGGUCGGGCCGGCGCGGGAUCUGAGCUGCCGUCGAUGGAUUUCUGGCAGCUUGGCUGCAUGUAGCUUUGGAUUCGGUAACAUCCCCAUCUCUCCGUCUCUGACCCCCCCCCCCCCCCNNNNNNNNNNNNNNNNNNNNNNNNNNNNNNNNNNNNNNNNNNNNNNNNNNNNNNNNNNNNNNNNNNNNNNNNNNNNNNNNNNNNNNNNNNNNNNNNNNNNNNNNNNNNNNNNNNNNNNNNNNNNNNNNNNNNNNNNNNCUGACCCAUUGUCCCGAGAUGGCCCCUGCGUCAGUUCCACACCGCUACGGCGCCGCCAGCCACCGCCGUUCCAUUCCCUUGGGUUCAGUUGUGGCGUGGGCUGGAGCCGUACUCUGUUGUCUGAUGCGUCGUUGGAGCGGGAGGUUUGGUCGGUCGACGCCAGGUAUGAGCAGCUCCUGAGCAGGAUGGAUGGAUGAAUGCAUCCAUGUGUCGUGAACUAAAAUCACGACACUUAUUUGGAACGGAGGGAGUAGUAUGUAUGGAUGUCAUGGUCAUGUUGCUUGGUGUGCAGUGCCCGGCCGGGGGAUUGAACCCCCUUUUCGAAAAAUGAAAAUAAUGAGGGGCAAUGAUGAUCAUGACGAUGACUGAAAUAAUCAUGCCUUGAGCAAUCAAGACAGCCGUGGUGUGGUGGUACUAAACAGAGCUGAAAAAAAAACGGUGUCUGGGUUGGAGUUGCCCUUAGAGCCCACCCUUACCUCUCUUGCAGCAUGUCCAAUUCAUCGCUGAUGUUGGAUGCUUUGUGCCUCGGAUGGUCAUUCUGUUGAGUGAUAACCAUGGUAGUUCUCUUACAUCGUGAUGGGUAGAUUAUGAAGCAAGAGAUGUGAGGGUUGGGCUUGAAGAUGGAAAGACAAAAACCGAGCAUCUUUUGCUAUAUAUCUCUCUCAAAUCCUAAACUAAAUCAGUUGAGCUCUCAUUGCUGACUCGCUGGAUCUGGGCCGCCAUCGAUGCAUUUCUCGCAGCUUGGCUGCAUGUUGCUUUGUAUUCGGUACUAUCCCCAUCUCUCUCUCUCUUUCUUUCUCUCUCUCAGACGCUCACACACACUUGCUCUAGUAAAGCCUAACCCUCAACCGAAUCAGGCGAGCUCUCGUUGCCGGAUCUCUGACCAUCGUCCCGGUGGCCGCUGCACACCACUACGACGCCGCCAGCCACCACUGUUCCAUUGCCUUGGAUUCGGUUGUGGCGUGAGCUGGAACCGUGCUCUGUUGUCUGAUGCGUCGUUCGAGCGGGGGGUUUGGUUGUUCGAUCAACUUAUGAAAAAGGGUCAAAACACGAAAUUUAGCCUUUGGGUUGUGGCCGCGUCACUUCACUGCUGUGGUGCUGCCAGCCUCUGCCGUUCCAUUGCCUUGGAUUUGGCUGUGGCGUGGGCUGGGAACCGUGCGGUGUUGUCUGGUGCGUCGUCAGGUUUGGUCGGUCCAGGCGAGGCAUGUGUAGCUCCUGAGGCUGAUGGGGAUGGAUGGACAUGUGCACGCAUGUACUUCCUCCGUUCCUAAAUAUAAGUCUUUCUAGAGGUCUCAAUAUGAACUACAUACGGACAUGUGCUCGCAUGUACUUCCUUCGUUCGUAAAUAUAAGUCUUUUUAGAGAUCCCAAUAUGGACUACAUACGGAGCAAAAUGAGUGAAUCUACACUAUAAAUCAUGUCUAUAUACACCCGUAUGUAGUACGUAUUGAAAUCUCUAAAAAGACUUAUAUUUAGAAACGGAGGGAGUAUGAUCUAAAUGCUCUUAUAUUUCUGUACAGAGGGAGUAUGUAUGUAUGUAUGUAUGUAUGUAUGUAUGUAUGUAUGUAUGUAUAUCAGGGUCAUGUUGUGCCUGGUGGGCAAAGACCGGUGGUACAACCUCCUUUUCGGUAAAAAAUGAAGGGCGAUGAUGAUGACUGUGGCUGAAAUAAGCAUGUCUUGAGCAAUCAAGAUAGCUGUGGCCUGUGUGUACUAAAUUAGAGCCCACCCUUUCCUCCCUUGCAGCCUGUCCAAUUCAUCGGUAACGUUGGAUGUUCUGCACCUUGGACGGUCAUUCUGAUGAGUGACAACCAGGGCAGUUUUCUUACAUUUUGAUGGGUAGAUUAUGCAGCAAGAGAUGUGAGUGUUGGGUUUGAAGAUGAAAUGCAAAACUGAGCCNNNNNNNNNNUUUGCUUAUGAUCCUUGUAUCCCCUCUCUCUCUCCCUAAAACAAAUCAGUCAAGUUCUCAUUGCCGGCUUGCUGGCCCAUCGUCUCUGUGGCUGCCAUGUCAGUUCCCUGUCUUUACGGUGCUGCCAGCCGCAACCAGUCCAUUGCCUUGGAUUCGUUGUGGUGUGGCUGGGAACCGUAAGGCGUCGUCUGAUGCGUCGUCCACACUGGGAGGUUUGGUCGGUUGAGGCCAGGUAUGAGCAACUCCUGAGACUGUCUAAGUUACUCACCACUAUGGCCAGCCUGAUGGAUGGAUGGAUGGAUGGAUGGAUGGAUGGACGGACGCAUGCAUGCAUGUAUGUAGGGAUAGUAUGGUCAUGUUGCUUGGGGUUUGACCUCCUUUUCAAAAAAAAAAAAGGGGCGAUGAUGAUGCCUGUGGCUGGAAUAAUUAUGUGUUGAGCAAUCAAGACAGCUGUGGCGUGUGGGUACUAAAUAGGCCCCGAAUGGGGCCGGAGUUGGAGAUGCCCUUAAGAGCUCACCCUUACGUUUCUUGCAGCCUGUUCAAUUCAUGGCUAAUGUUGGAUGUUCUGCGCCUCGGAUGGUCAUUCUGAUGAUUGAUAACCAGGGCAGGUCUCUUACAUCGCGAUGUGUAGGUUAUGCAGCAAGAGACGUGAGUAUUGGGCUUGAAGAUGAAAGGCAAAACUGAGCCCUCUUUUGCUACGCUACAAAUACUUAGUUUUUCCUUCUCUACUAUACAUUGUUUUUUAUUUUCUGUUCCUCUCUAUUGUGUUGAUGUGAGAUCUCGAUCUGGAUUGCUAUCUUCUCUUGGUGACGAACCCAACCACCCUGGGUUACUUGGUUUGGUUCCUAGUUGGCGUUGUUUUUGCCUUUAAAGUUGUACAUAUACAUACUAUGUGUCAAACGAUUCUCCUUUUUUCCUCCAAUGCUUGUAGCUAUUGGCAGUUCUAUUCAUGUGGUUAACGAGAAGCUGUUCUCUUGCUUGUCUUGUCCUGCCAGAUGCUUCUUCAAAGACCAAGUUCUGAUCCGUUAUGUCUGUGUUUUUAUAAACUGAAGCUCAAAUUACCUUCGUAUUUGGUUUGGUCAGAGCAGACCUUUUGUUAUGAUUCUCUAUGCUAUUUAGUUCAUUGGUGAUUAGUCUAUUUUCAGCUGCUGCUGUCAAUAUUAACUGUCACAUUUUCGAUGCAUGCGUGUUACAGAUCCCUUGAACGGAUUCGAAAUGAGUGUCAAGUAAAGUUAUCAAAUGCAAAAGUGUAUUUGUUAAAAAGGCUCUUAUAUUUAACUGAAUGUCCUCCUGGAGCUUCCGCUUAGGUCAUUCAUGAUUUAUAUGUUGGGGGCUCGCCCCCUUCUCAUUAUAUAUUUUAAAAUUAAUUUAUUCAGUAUUCUUGCUUUGGUUUUGUUUUCAUUUUGCCAGAGGUUAGACUGACCGGUGUUCAGUUUCAUGGUGGAAUUGCCCACUAUCCAAUGUCACAUGCCUGACUAUUUAGCAUUAGAACCCCAUUUUUCAUGGGAUAAACGGGUGAGCUGCAUUUCCUGCUUUCUGUUUGUAUUAUAUGCAUCCCUUUUUGCAAGCUUAUGCUUUUCUUCUGUUUCAAAACGGAAAGUUUAUGUCAUCCUGUUUUUAUUUGGCUUGUAGUGACUCAACCAAGCCUUUAGUCUCAACACAUGGAUUGCUAGCUUCUACGCACCUCUGUCCAUGGCUAGUUCUUUGGUGAUAUUCCAUGUCCUCCUUUACUAUCCCACCCCUGUCCAUGGCUAGUUCUUUGGUCAUAUUACAUGUCCUCCUGUAUUAUCACUAUUAAAUUUUUACUGGUUCUUUUGGUAGUGAUGUACAUUCAAGUCGGCAAAUUGUGAACUUCUUUUCUACUGUUUUGGUCCAGCACAGCAACUGCUAACUGGCCUCAAGGAAUACAAUUUGCAUGGUUUGCUUUCUGCUGAUGACCAUUUUAAUGUGUAUAGAAGCCAAUACGUUGAAAAACACAAUGUUGUCAUAAGCCUGUAUCUACCUCCUGUUGCAAAAAUACCAUGGCUACCUUUUAUAAAUUGGCCAACUCUGAGCCUCCCGCCUAAUAAAGUUCUGAGUAAAAUUGAGUGUUUCCUUCCCAAAAUUUGAACUGAUCUUUUCCUUUUUGGUAAUUUGUUGUUCUUGCUUGCUUGCAUCCAUGUAUACAUAAAAGAUAUGUUGAGAGUUCGGUUAUGAUAUUAGUUCUUUCGGUAAAAUCAUGGGCUGGUGGAUGCAAAAGUAGUUUUGCAAGUUUAUAUUUUCGCCUUUUUUCCUACACAUUUUGUUGGUUUUGCAGUAUGUCAACCGGUUCUGUUGUUUUAGGAACAGUACUCCAGGCUCACUUAAUUCUUGUCUCUCUCUUUUUUUUUUUUCCUUUUUUGUUCUUCCUUUUUCUUGAAUGGCUAUGAUAAUUCUGCUGUGCCUUGGAUGGUAAUCUUAUUUGGUGCUGGGUCAGUUUGCUUGUUUCAAUUGCUAUUUGACUUGAUAAUUUUGUUCUUCUAUUGUACUCUUUAUUAUCUACUUAUCAGUUUGUAGUUUUGGUUUCUCUUUAGGCCGCGCUUGGGAUGGUUGUAUUUCAAUACGGGGGUAUUUAGUUUACACUUGUAUUUUACUGGCUGCUGAGGCCGUGUUUGAGUUGUCGUUUUCUUUCCAAAUACGUCUGUAAACAAUACAGAUCUCCAUCCGUCGUUUCGCUUCCAGCCGGGAAUCUCUAUUAGCUCGGUAAAUCACACCUGUAAAUUAAAUACAUUUGUAUCUAAAUACACCCAUUCCAAGCGGGGCCUGAACAAUUUCUGGCUGAAAACAAAACGAUGGCCCGAGGUCCGUAUUUUUUACACGUGUAUUUGAAACGGAAACCUGUACUUCUUUACUGGUUUCAACUUAAGGGUCGCAUAUAGCAAGUUCAGCUGUCAAAAUUACUGUCUUCUUUGUGUCACAUUCCUGAAUGGCUGUGAUGAUAUAACCUCCCUAUGAGAGCUAUCUAACACCUGAAUUGAUUUACUUGGUGCUAAACUAGGAUGGCUUGUGUCAAGCAAGUAACCAGUUUAGCGGCUAACUCCCUCAGUUCAUUGGAUUUUUCAGUAUGGACUACGCACGGACUGAAAGGAGUGACUAAACACACUAAAAAUAUACACCCGAUUAAGAAAAAAGUUAGAACAUCUUAUAUUUCUGAAUGGAAGGAGUACUGUUAAACGUUGGAAUUAAGAAUCCACUUAACAGUGUGUAGAGACGGACAAUGGAGAUUACAUGAUCCUUCUACUUAUGGUGGCAAGAUGGCGUUAUAUUUGAGCCAUUUACUUAUACAUGUCCCAGUUUUAUGUGUCCACCAGUUCAUGGUUUGCUCCUGGUAUUGUUUCUUUCUGCAAUCACUGAUUCUCCUAUGAUUUCUUGUCAUCUUGUGCUCUUUGACUAUUGGCUUCUUUGUAAUUCUCUUUGUGGUAUUUGCGCCAAAGUGCUGUUGAUGGCGAUAAUGAGUAAUGUUCAUUCAGAGGUGUAUUUAGAUCAGAUAUCAUCACUUGUUUAUAUGGUAUGUUUUAGGGUUAGGGUUUUGUGUGACUAGGUGGAAGUGUGCAAAUCGGGACGGCUUGCUUUCUCAUUUGAAUGCUGAAAUGUCACACAGGGAUGUAAGGGCAUCUGCAAUGCGGAUCAAUGCGGAUCACCAGGGGUGUAAGGGCAUCUGCAAAGCGGAUCACCAAGUGUAUCGGAUACAGAGUGGGUUCUGCCCAUAUGAGAGCCUCCUUUUUUUUUAAAUAAAUACGACCUCUACUUUUGAAUAUUAUUGGUUUUGAUUCUUCUCAAUCUAUUAAUGAUUUAUAGCAGUAUUGGGAUCUCAUUGUAAUAUACUCCCUUCGUAAAGAAAUAUAAGAGCGUUUAGAUCACUAAGUAAUCUACGACACUUACAAGAUAUGCUCAUUGCAAACUGGAUUUUGUUCUAUUUUACACUUGCAUACUCAGAAUGCGUUGAAUUACUCAUGCAUCAAGAGGUUGUACUUUAUUUGAAUAAAAAGCAAUCCUAUGUGCUGAGGGCCCUGGGAAGCGGCAGAGGGCGUAUUUUGCUUUGCGAGAACUACAGGUGUUCCUGGGUUUGCGCAUGUUCAUAUUCUCGACUAUUUUCUCACCAUAUACAUGUUCAGUGUUGCUGUACGUACACAUAGAUAAUGCCCGUUGCUAUACAUACACAUCUAUAAUGCCAACAUACGCAUAUAUAAUGCCCAGUACAUAACUAUCUGUACGUGAGAUUUUCAUUAUUCAUUACUUGGAGGCAUGGUGUUGAUAAUCUAAAUAUUGAGCUUCCUCAUACAGUAUGUCUCAUCAUACAGUUUCAUCUGGGUUCUGAAGUUGCGCCUCAUACGUACCGGGCAGUUGGAAUACACAGCACCGCCUGCAAAGGUUCCAACUCCUCUUGUGAAGCUAACCAUUUGGCCCUUCCGAAAAGAAAUCUGACUCUGUCCGAAAUCCUGACCAUGUGGUAUAUGGAGAUGAUUUCUGACACCCGAAGAAGAAUUGAAUAUCCUAAUCCAAGAGAAAAAUUGCCUCUGUUCUCAACAAGUGCAGGUGCCAAAGGAUCAUAUUUCAAUCGCUCCACGCAUCCUAAGUUCUUUCAGAAUAGUCCAUACGAUAGCCCUUGCACCUCGCCCUCUCCUUAGUUCUGAACUCAAGAACAAGCAAUAUGUUACUCUCGAGUACUAUAUGAAAGCCGAAAGAUAUUAUCUCAUGAAUUUCCAAAUAUCACCGCUACGCGAGAGAUUGGCUGUUACGCAAAAUUGCUUCAAGAGCUGGAUGAUUUUUGCCCCACCAAAGUGUUUGCAUUUGAGCAUCCCUUGAACCGCGAAACUGCAGAGAUUGGCUGUUACGCAAAAUUGCUUCAAGAGCUGGAUGAUUUCUGCCCCACCAAAGUGUUUGCAUUUGAGCAUCCCUUGAACCGCGAAACUGCUCUCCAGUUUUAUGCCACUCUGUACAUUUUUCAAGAAGAGGAUGACAACUCCAAGUGGAUCAUGGAAUGGAUGACCUAAGAAAAACGCAUCAAGUGCACAUCAACUGACUUCGUGUCACACUUUCAUUUUCCUCGUUUUGAGCAUGUCAAACAAAAUAUUCGGGUCCAUAAAUUGAUGUCAUCACUGAUGAAGAGUUUCGAUGCACCAGAGUUGCAGAAAAGAUUCAGGACUACUAUGGUUCUUCUUGUCCCGAACACCUAUUUUUUUAUCAUGCCAUGAAGACUGUCUAUGUUGCCAAGGCCACUCACAAGUGUUUCGUUCCUCCUGUGCGCGAUACACUACAAGUUAUGGAAGAUUUUACCUCGGGAAAAUCUCCUGCCCCAAUCCAAGAUGACAAUCCAAGAUUGUCAUCGCCAAUUUGUUGGCCCUCGUCUACCUCAACUCGGAAGGAUUGCUUCCCCUCUGCCGCCUUCUCAACUUGAAGUUAGCUUGCACACUCAGCAAGUUCUCGUGAAACAUAUUGAGGAAGAUUACUCCGAGAAAGAACACUUAGUCACACAGCUCAAUUUCAUCAACAACCUCACUCGUGUGAUGCACUUAAUCGCUCAUGAGAAUAAGAAGAGGCUUUGUAAAUUUCUUUGCAAAUUCUUCAUCAAAAAGCAACUCAUGAAUGCGAACCUUCAAGAGCUUUGUGAUUAUAUUGACAAGGGUUUCUCUAUCAAAGAUUUCCAAGAUCAAAGUGUUCCAUCUCUACCUGCUCGUGAACCUACAACUCAUCUUCUUCAUCCUAAGAUUUACAAGCCGCUCGAAGAAUAAAAGGCCAUGUCUCCUACUGUGAAACCAUCUGAAGGCCAAGCUCUCACUCGUAUUCCGCCUGAAGUUGAUCCACUUGUGCCUAGCUCCUCUACUCAGCACGCAGAAAAUCCUCGAGAAGAACCCACUUCCGUCGACACCCAAGAAGCUCCUACAAUGCGAGUCACAUCUGUAGAUGAAGGAUCUUCAGCCAGCUCUUCUAUAAAUUCCUCAGAGUAGUCUUCAUUGAGCGCUUCAUGCCUCAUGUUAUUCGUCACCUUUUUGACACUCGUUGACAAAAGAGGAGAAUUACAUCAAGUUUCUGAUAGAUUUAUCUUUUGGCGUUCAUCUAGAUUUGUUUUCCCUUGAGUUUGCAACUGUCCUUCAAUGUUUGUAUACUGUGUUGCUCUCUUUGGACAUUGUCAAUCAAAAAUGGACAUCCAAAUGAGUACCCAUCUCGUCUUGAACAGUCCAUGGUUUUAGAACAUUUGCCCCAUUGAAUCAUUGAGACCAGCCAUGCGAUGUCUUUCACCGACCACAUUAUAGCUCCUACGCGAAGUGGUUCUACUCAAAGUAGAAUGGACGCACUACACCACGACACUGCAUUUCCAACAAACAGGUUGGUCGAAAAAACAGCCUUUGCCAACACACAGUCGGUCGAGAAAGAGUAUUGUCGACCGAAACCGUCUGUUGGGGUAAGUCCAGACGAGAAAGCCUUUUCCCGACUGAUUGUUUGACGCCUGUAAAUAGCAUUGCUGACCGACUUUCCGAUGGCACAGGAAGGGCUCUUUCCCGACCAACUUGCGGUUGGGGUUUCCGUCGAAUCUUUCCCGACCAACUGUUUGACGACAAAACCUUUCCCAACCGAUUUUCAGCUGAUGUUGGUGUUGAAGCUUUCCCGACCGACCAUUUGACAAUACAGCCUUUGUCGAUCGAUUUUCUGCUAACGUUGGUGUCAAAGCUUUUCCCGACCGACCAUUUGAUAGCACAUAUUUUGCCGACCAACAAUUUGACAGCAUUUUCCUUAGCUGAGCAAUGUUUAAUACCCAUGUACCCUUGUUUUUACAUCUGCCUUACAAUACAAUGUCAAAUCAAGUUGCAUAUCUCAUUACAAGUCAAGUUACAAUAGCUUGCGUAUCUCAUUACUACUCGCGAGUAAAGGAAACAUUUAUGGUUCAAAGAUUGAAUCACCCAACAGGUUUACAGAAUGAUAGAUGCAUGUCCGAUAUUCAUUGUUUGCUCCAUUACACAAAAACCCAGGUGCACAAAAUGAGACCUAAAAGACGCAUUAUUUUUGCUCCAUUACAGAAAAUCUCUAGCGGAUGCAAACUAACAUCUUCCUGGGUCCUUCCUGCUCCUUUUGUAUGUCUUUUCUACAAAGGAUAAAAAUGUCAUGGUGAGCAUGCAUUCAGAGAUGAUGGCAAAAAUAAUAAUUGUAUAAAUCAUAGAUGCAACGUGACCAUGAAGUAUAUUUCAGGAAAUGUGAGCAAUACAGAGGUGUACUCGGAGCAACACAAGGCAACAUAAUUAAGUUGUAUUUCCAUCAUCUGGACAUAAGGCAAAAAUUUAGCAUGUCCAGACUCCCAGCUUUAAUUCAGAAGACAUGGUACUAUUUACUGUGGAGAGCACUACUCGCUACUCCCUCCGUUCCUAAAUAUAAGUCUUUUAAGAGCUUUUACUAGAUGACUACAUACGAAGCAAAAUGAAUGAAUCUACACUCUAAAGUAUGUCUAUAUACAUCCAUAUGUAGUCCUCUAGUAGAAUCCCUAGAAAGACUUAUAUUUAGGAACGGAGGGAGUAGUUUGGUUGGUGCUCGAGAGCAACUACAAAAUUGUGCCAGCCAGCUAUGAACUAUACAUUAACUUAGCCAAACUUUAGAUGAAGAGAAUAACCAAGAAAAUAUAUACCAUCACCAUUUAAGAAGUGGCAAUGAACUAGGUAGACAUUGAAAAUAAGAGAAGAUAGAACAACAUUGAUUGUUAAUGCUCAAUGUACAGAGCUAGAUAGCAACUAUCAUGAGGAAGAAGAUACAAGGGUCUGGUUAUGUUCAUUACGGUCCCUGGUUUUGUAGCUGAAAAAAUAAAUACUAGCUCAUGAAUCAAAUAUACCUUAGCGGCGGGACGAGGAAGAUGCCCCUAGUUUGUAGGGUUUCAUCUAGCAAAGUGAUCAUGAGUCAGUAUCACAUCAAACAAUUCGAGAUAAGUGGACAAAACACACAUUGUUAGUGAUUACCUUGCUAGAUGGCCAUGCAAUGGACCUUGUGACAGCAUCAUCGAUAAUUUGUAAACCGUCAUCUUCAAAAGGCAAAGUAGCAUCCCUUCUUAGGAACCUUGUGGACACGUUUCCCAUCUGCACUCUUCCUUUCAGAUUUGCAUCGUGAAGCCUUACAUUCUGGCAUGAAUUGGCAUUGACAUUGUUCUUCCAAAAUAGAAUGCAAUCAUUUUCAUGCAUGAAUAUUAACAUACCCAAGUCCUAGGCAUUUGACUAGUUUUUUGGCUUUAUUGGAGUUUUUGGGUAUUGCGGACUGAGGGUAAGCAUCUUUGAGUAGAUCUAACAACAGAUCAAAACUUAUGUCAGACCACCCUCCAAGCAGUUUGAUGUGAAGAAGUCUCACUAGGAAACGAAGCUUUGAGAAAUUCCUACAGCCUGGAUAUAGCUCUUCUCUAGAAUCAGCUUCAAGUUUGCGGAGAGAUUGUAGAAAAGAAUCAUCUUGAUCUAAACCACAAUCAUCUUCAAGAUCUCCCCCUUUAUCCAAACCAGCAAGGUCUCUUAGCAAAUCAGAUAUAUCAUCGCCCUCAUCCCUAUCGUCACCCUCAUCUAGAUUUGGAGGAAUGGGAGGAGAGACACGUUCCCUUGCAUACGAGGUGCUCACGGACUUCAAAUUCUUCUCUCCAGUACGAGUUCACACAGUUUUCGCAAGGACAUAAGAUUUUAUUCUCGACCGAUGAUUUACUAAAUGCAUAGCCUAGGAAUUUGGCAUGCUCUUGUAAGUACUUCUGUGUAUGCCUACAUGCAAGUGUACAUGUGCACUGCAUUAUAUAUAUAGUUUCAGCAUCUAAGAAAUUUAAAAAAUACAUGUGGCUGUUAUACCUAGGCGCAUCCAUCCAACUUUUAUCCAUGGUAGCUAGCUUCACACUUAGUUAUUACCAAAUCAACACUAAAUACUAAAAAGAUAAUAUCAUUACCAGAGAAUGCAAGGAAUUACUGCAAGUACUACCAUAAAUAAAAUGGAUCAAAGAUGUGGUUGACUCACCAACUGGUGGAAGUUGUAGUGACAAGCACGCAAGGGGGAUUAUUGUGCCACUACUGUAAGUUGAGUCUUUGGGAGCAAGAAUCCUGAUAACCAACCAAAUGAAAUCUGAUCGUGCCAUACAUUUGAGAUUGUGUAUUAUAUACAAUAAAAUAGCAUGCAAAUAAAAAACUGUUCAAAUAUUUUAAAAAUAGGCUAAAAUUUGUACAUUACAACACAUGAAAAUUAUACAUAAGCAACAUGAGCAUAUGUUCACAUGUACCGGAGAAUAUGAACUCUUCGAAAACAUGAAAAAAUAGGUUCAAAACUAUACAUCACAAUAGCAUAUUAGAAUUGACUUGACAACACCAUGAGCUGUUUAAAACAUGAAAAAUAGGCUAAAAACUGAAUGUAACAACAACAUAUUAUGAUAAGUUUGACAACAACAUUGCAUAUUAUAACAUGUCUAGCUCCAUUGCUACAAAAUUCACAAAGAACACAAAUCGGUUUAGAUCUCACUACCAAGGGACGGCAAGAAUAGCCAGCUGCAGAGCUUCUGUUGCUGAGAGUGCUUUGUCACGGCGCCCGACCUAUCUCCCCGGUUUGCAACAGGUUAAGCCCCAUCAACCCCGGGAUCUGCAGCAGAUUAAGCCCCAGAUUUGCCCUACGCGCGGCCUGACAACGACGAGGUGAUGAGAUAGCACCUGGGCGAAGGAGAAAGUUUGAGCGUGCGGGGCGGCAAGCCAGCAGGGUCGUGCGGCAGGCAAGGCCGUCUCCGGGGUUGGCCACCACAAGCAGCAGCACCUCCGAGACGUGCCCCGCCACGGCUGUAACGCCAUUCCACAGGGCAACUCUCCUCUGCAGUAGGUAGAGAGGCAACCGACACAGUGAAGAACCCGGCGGCGGCGUGGUGGAGCGCGGGGGCGCGGUGGAGAGCCCGAUGGUGGAGGCCAACAAUGCGGUGGAGCGCGGGGGCGCGAUGGAGCACGGGCGAGGGUGGAGAGCCCGGCGGUGGAGACCAACGGCGCGGGAGCGAGGUGGAGGCCAACGGCGCGGUGGAGCGCAGGGCGCGUGGGAGAGCCCGAUGACGGCGUGGUGAAGCGCAGGGGCGCAACGGAGACCCCGGCGGCGGCGUGGUGGAGCGCAGGGGCGUGGUGGAGCGUGGGGGCGCGAUGGAGCACGGGCGAGGGUGGAGAGCCCGGCGGUGGAGGCCAACGGCGCGGGAGCGAGGUGGAGGCCAACGGCGCGGUGGAGCGCAGNNNNNNNNNNUGGGGAAUGAAGUCAGGAAUUUGGCUGUGCGCGGCGUUGGUGAUUUUGGGGAAAACCUUUCGCGCGUUGGGCCGGCUAUUGGCGCGAAAAAAUUGGCUCUUCGCGCGCUAGAGGCCCAUAGCAUCGGACAGUCGGUCGGGGUUAUUUGCCGACUGAUAGUCCAUGGGCCAUAACGGUUUUCCCAAUCGAUACGUGGAUGGUAUAGGAUGUAGCAUUCCCGACCGAUGAUCCAUUAGAAUUUUUUCUAGCUGACUGUCGAUUGGCAAUAGUGCCUUUUUCCCAACACCCGUCAGUAUGUAAUGCAGUGUCGUGGUGUAUUGACGCCAACGAGCAUACCCCCACCGGACCGGUUCUUCUCUUGUGCAUUUAUUUUUCAAGAAACUUCUUCAGCAUUUUAUGCACCGGGCUGACUCAUCGCUUGUUCGUGUAAUCUUUGUCCAGGUUGGUUAGGUGGGGGUAUAUGCUCGAUUGCUGGGGUACAUGAUGGGCAGAUGUAGAUUGAGUAUUGAAAACAAAUCACAUCUUGUGCUUCAUGUCCGGUCCUUCAUGAUCGUGGAACCUAGGAUCAAUAACUUUAAAGUAGCGUUUGCCUUGAUCGAUGGUAGAAGUGAUAUGAGUGCCUAAGGUUUAGGCCUAAUACUUCCCCGUUUCAUAAUGUGUGGUGCCUAUAAAUUAUUUAGGAGUCAAACUUUACAAGUUUGAUCAAGUUUAUAGAAAAUUAUUUAUAUAUACAAUAUCACUUAUAUGUAGUAUGAGAUGUCCACCUCAUGAUACAAAGUAUUCUUUGUAACCCCGGUUAAAGUUUGUCUUUUGAGAUAAUCUAUGUGCAUUGUAUUAAGGAAGACAGGGUAUAUGGGUCAACAUUGAUUAGUUAAGCGACCGACAUGCGCUCAAGGAGUUGUGUCAUUCGAUUCUGUGGAUGAGCACGGUGCCCAUCUAGGCAUCUAUAUGUGGGGCACGCCUGUUCGGCUGAGCGGGGCCAAAGAGAAGAAGCAGCAAAACCUAUACGAGGUCGAGAUGCGCACGUUGGAUGCGGAGCGCGAGAUGGAGGCCGAGCGGUAGCAUGCGGCACACGGGUACAGGAUGCUACAACCGGUCUAGCAGGCGGCGCUAAAUGCAACACAACAGGCAUCGGGAGUUGGCAUCCUUCGGCCUUGUAUCAUGCAAGGUACUUAGAAGAGGUGUUUAAAAAAAACUAGUAUACAAGGUAGACUCUUAGUUAGGCGUCUCUCUUAUAAAAAUAGACACUGGUAUUUGAAAAAAAAAUCCGGUUUAUUUUUUUAAACACUUAGCAUUGUACAAGGCCUUCUAGACUCCUCCCUUUUCCAUGGAUGGAGACAUCGAGGCACGUCCCUAGAUUCAUCGUCUGUCUGUUUUCACAUUUUUAGUUUUAACUGGCAUAAAUGCCCAUGCGUUGAAACGGAAGAAAAUUUGAUAGAAAUUAUAAAAUCUCCCUCUUUUCACAAAUGUGCUUCGAGCGCCAAUCUUCUAUCCAACUCCGACAAAUUAUGUAUGAAUAUGGAUAGAAGAAGGGAAUGAUUAUAAAAACAUUUAGUGCACCAAGUAAUUUUUUCCUAUUCUUCUCUCCUCGAGUAGCGUUAAAAAAGUCACAAUUAGGGUUACUCUUAUUUGUAGUGAUAGUAUAAAAAUAAUGUUAUUGUCGUCAUGUUUACUAGAGUUUUAGUAAAGAAACAAAAACAAAAAUAGCUAGAAUGAAGAAGGGAUGGAAAAAUUAUGAAAUUUACAAAAAUGUUAAUUCCCUCACUUCAAAACUAUUCGAUCAACAUACUUAAUUCUUUGUUAAAAAUCAGAUUAUUAACACGAAGUUUCAAGCUUGAAAAUAAAAUAAAAUAACACAUCAUUCUCAAUGAUUUUGUUUGAGCAUCUCUCUCGCAUGAGCAAAUAGCAAAAACCACCAUAAUUGUGCAAAAGUCAUCAAACUCCCACCAAAAUGCAUGCUUUAUGGUGGUUUUUUCCUCAAGCAUUGAUAACUUCGACCUGAUUGUGAUUUUUUUAAUUUACUCCUCUCGCAUGCGUCUCUCUUUCUCCCCUCACUCAUCAGCAUGCCCACUAAAUGAAACGUGCAAGAACUCUCACCGAGCUUCUCUUUAAAAGUAAUCAAGGCUAAACGAAACAUUAUCAAUAGAGGUUAGUUUGCUGGUAGGUAUUUUUAUCCUAUCGAGGUCCUGUUUGUUUCAUAAGUCCUAGGACUUUUUUAAGUCCCGACUUAUAAGUCAUAAGUUACUACCUGUUUGUUUACAGGGACUUAUAAGUUUCGAGUCUCUGCCUGUUUGUUUACAGGAACUUAUAAGUUCAUGUUGCACCUAAUAAUACACUUGUUCACAUAACCCUUGUUCAUACAAAUGAAUUGCAGAAUAGUGACAAUCGAAAUAACAAUUGUUCAUAACACUUGUUCAUACAAACGAAUUAACACUUGUUCAUAAGAACCAAAAUAAGAGAGAGUACAUAACAAUUGAGAUAUCAAAAAUUACAUAAGCGAAGAACCUUGGGGCACGGGCCUACCACGACCAGGUCCGACCGAAGGAAGGCCAUGACCGGCCGACUGGUCGAAGAGGAGUUGUUGGUACGAGCCGAACUCCGGGAAGUCGUCGACGUUGCCGUUGAGAUCCAAGAAACGCCCGAAACCCAUUCCCUCCCGAGAUUUCCACCGGCGGAUGAGAACUGGGAGAAAAAAGGCAGCUGCUCCUCCUCCUCAUCAGCCAUGGUACGGUGACCUGGGACGCGAGGAUCGUCAUCAGCCAUGGCGCGGUAACCUGCAGUCAACAUGGAUUGUCAUCAGCCAAAAUGUCAACAAGAAACUGGAUGAAUCAACAGUAACAUUCCAUAUUUUUCAGUUAUUAUUAUACAGGAAACUAGAUGAAUCAUCUUUUAAUUAUAUUAGCAAGAAUCACCAGGAAACUGGAUUAAUUGCAUCGCACAUGACCGGCUUAAUUGCAUCGCACAGACUGGGUGAAUCAUCAACGAAUCAUCAGUGAAAUUGCAGCGCACAGGCCGACGGGACGGGACGGCGGGGGGACGGGGCGACGGGACGGGACUAACCGAGGCAGAAACGGGCGACGGGACGGGGCGGCGGGGGGACGAGCCGAGGCCGAUGGGACGGGACGGCGGGGGAACGGGGCGACGACGGGGCGGGUCGGCGACGGGGCGGGCGGCGACGGGGCGGCUACUCCAGCGAUGCGGGGCGGUGGGGCGGCGGCGGGGCGGGCGGCGACGGGGCGGCUAGCGAUGCAGGGCGGUGGGGCGGCGACGAUUGGGCUGGGAACGACACGGGGUAGGGCGGUGGGGCGGCGGGCACUGAUCGAUGCGGGAAACGACGCGGACCAACGAGCAUAAUUCCCAAUAAGCUCCUCCCUGAGAGUCUUAUUUGAUAAGUCCCAAAUCACCACAAUAAGUCCCAAUAAGCCCCUUGUGUUUGGUUUAGGUGGGACUUAUAGGGACUUUUUUAAGUCCCUAAACCAAUAAGUCUUUGAAAACAAACACCCUGUGAGAGCGACAUGCAAUGUGCGCGCACAUCCAUGAAAAGUCUCACAAUCCUGUCAUGCUGCUUUCAAUCAAUCAUGAAAUCAAUUGUCCAUAAUUCUGCUUUAAGUAUGCGUCGUUUCUUUUCGGGCGUCAAAUUCCUGCUUUAAAUUUGGCCAUGAAAUCUCCCACCAUCCUGCUUUAAUUAGGAGUCAAUUAGCCAUGUAUGCCCUAUUGGGAACGACAUGCAUCGACGUUCAAUUAGUCAUGAAAUUAAUAGUCCAUAAUUCUGCUUUAAGUAGGAGUCGUAAUGGCUCCCAAAUUCCCGUUUUAAAUUAGGCUAGAAAUCUCCCACAAUUCUCCUUUAAUUAUGAGGCAAUUAGCCACACAUUCCUCCUCAUUUAUCAAAUUAUUAGCAUGUGCAGCCAUGGGCAUAAUUUUGAGAGUUAAUUUCUUUGCUUUUCUAGGAAUUUGUUUCCUUGAAAUAAGUGGGUUUUUCAUAGGAUUAAUGGGACUCACAUGUCUUUCUCUUUUUGUUUAUUUUGAUGGCUGCCUAUUGACAUAUAAAAACUGGUGAAAUUUUGCAUAAAAGGGUCGGGGUCGUACAAUUUAGUUGGUAGAUGAAUCCAAAUUUUAAAUGAUAGCAUGAGCUAAAUGAGUUGGUUGGGUACUUUGAUAUGUAAUGUGAAGAGGUUGUGUGUUCAAACCACCAUGGGUGCAUAGUUUUUUAUGCUAUAUCUUUAUUAAUGGGCUGCACACUACUUUUAAUUUUUAAUGGGUUGUGUGUGGCCCAUGCAAUAAAAUCGGAAAUUUUAUUACAAAGCUGGCCUCGAGGGAUACGUGACAGAUCAAAUUUUACGUAUGUAGAUUGGAUGUUGACUGAAAAAAGGUCAUGGUGUUUUGCGUAAAAUAUUAUGACAAUUCAGAAUACAUAUUUUCUUUAUUAGUAGGGAGCUGCUACGCCUUGGCCUAUGGAUCUUUUUAAAAGAUCCGUCACCUCGCGAGUCCUUGGAUGUGGCAGAAUCUACCGCCUGAAUUUCCUCCUCUACUCCGCAACAUAUAUCUUGUUUUAAAAACAUUUACGACAUAGGUUGUCUUACGGAUUUUUUUGUACACAAACUGUGUUGCGGGAUUGUUUUUUUGCAACAAAAACUUUGUUGUUGCAGACUUUUUCUUGCAACUGAGGUUUUGUUGCACAUAUUUUUUGCAGGAGGGAUGAUGUUGCAAAACCUUGUCAACAUUACUGCCAUCAUUUCCUACGAUGCUUUGCGACAUAACUGAUGUUGCAAGAUAUGGUGAAGGAGCAUAGGCAGGGAAAAUAAUGAACCCAUACGAGCAUACGUGAGGACAAAUGGAUGAAGGGUGAUCCAACGGCUGCGCGGGUGGCAGAACUUUCCGCCUGAUCUGCCUGUAGAGUGUGAGUAAUCCCUUAUUACUAGGUAUAUAGAUAUAAAUAUAGAUUAUGUAAAUUGAACUUUUGUAGUUAUUUUAUUAUUUUUAGUUUUAAAUAUUAAAAUUAUUCUAUCCGCGUUUGGCUGUCGGUGAACAAGAACGGAUAAUGACAUCUGCUUAGGCCAACUUCAACCCACGAUUCCAAAUGGACGUCUUUUUUGUUCGGAUUUCGUUUGUUUGGACCGGCAAAACAUACGUUUGUGUCCGGUUUUCGGCGUCGGCCUCAGCAUGCACCCAAUGGGCGGCCGCAUCGCAUAUUGCCCGCAUCACAUGAAUAAAAAAGGCGAUCACACAUUUUAUAAUACAAAGAUAAAACUUAAUUUAAACAUUACUAAAUUCUAAAAAGUCCAUGCGCCUUAAAUAAACAUUACUAAGAAAACUUCAAUGCCACCACUGCCCGUGGCCGUCGUCGCUACCGCCGUCGUCUUCACGUGUCGUCUAUGGUGAGGUUGACAUACGACGGAGGCAUCCAGAGGUGGGUCGAGGGCGCGUGCGUUGGAUGAAUGCGUCGCGAGGGCGGGAGGGGCUUGAUGGUGACUGUGGUGGCGUGGGCGCCCAAGGCUCGGCACCUAUCGAGUCGACCAUCUCCGACGCGAUGGCCGACCAUGCGAGGGUUCCAAACACCAGCGACGGGCUCCUCUAUGCAGGGUGGCUCCUCCACGGCCUCCUCCUUGACGGCUAUCUCUAGCUCUCGGAUGGCGACGUCGUCGACCGCGGAGAGGGCCAUCAUCUCCUCGAGCCCCUCCCACUUGCGCUUGUCGUGGGUGUGGAGAUAGUCCUAUAUCACGUGCCACAUCGGCUCCCCCUCCCCAUCGGUGAUAGGGACUGGUUGGGGUGGCGACGACGGUGAUGGGUUGGACGUGAACCUAGACAGCCGACAAAGUACGACUAUCGCGCGCACGCCGUGUUCAUCACGGAACCAAGUAUCCCAUAGAGGCAAGUCUAUGGCAUACCGGUGGUCGUUGACGAGGUCAGGCGGUAGGUGGGUGCGGCGGUGACAGAUCUCCUCGCGAAGGGCCCGGACGCUCAUCGGGACUGGUGGGAUCGACACCCAAUAUGCGGAGAGGUGUCAGUUAUUGGGGAGGUGCACGUCGCUCCACGAGAACAAUGAGCACAUCUCCCAAUACCACUCGCGGAUCUCGGCCUUCACGUACGACCGCAUGCGAGGAGCGGCCGGCGCUGACGAGACGUGAAAUGGGGGGGUGUAGGAAGUGGAGAUGGAGGAGGAACGAUGGCCGGAGGAAGACCCGUGUGACAGCCCGAGACCGACGUUCCAGAAGCUUCCCCUUUUCUUUUCGUUUUCGUCGUGUGCGUAUUUUCAGUUGCCGCAUCAUCAUCGCAUCUUGCGCAUCAUCUGCAUUGCAUCGGCAUCUCCGUUGCCGCCAGUUUUCAAAACUUGCAUCCGUUAGUAGUUGCCGGUUCUCGUCGUUGCCCGUUCCGAGCCCCGACCGCACACGCACGCGCCCGCGGCACCGUCGAAACCCUGUUUUAAAAGCGCGUUUAAAACUCUCUCUGAUCGAGGUGAAACUUGGCACGCGAUCGCGAUUAGAUGUAGCUAGGCCGCCUGUCGAAUUUCGUCGCGAUCGGAGACCGUCUGGUACCCGAACGGUCGCUCGUAGCGGCACCGUAUUCGGGCUACUGUCGGACGUUGUCGGUGUUUUAAAGUUCAUGCCGCGCCGCCCGUUCUCCCUCUCGUCUCCGGACAUCUACACAACACGGUCGCGUACCCAUACCCGCGUUCGGAAUCGUCCGAAUCCGACCCCGCGGUUGGAUCCGGAGCGCGAUUCCGGUUAACCGAGCCCCCUUUUUCCUUAUGAAUACCCCCUCCUCCUUAAUUUUGGAUAGCCCCUCUUCCCUGCCUCGUUUUCCGCACCCCACCUACCAAACCCUAACCCUAGCCGCAGCAGCCCCUCCCCACCAGCGCCGCCGGCCCGCCCGAGCCCGCGCGCGGCCCGCCGGGCCCGAACCGCCGCCGCCGAGUGCCCGAGCCCCUGCAACCCCGAGCCUCCCCCAUGGCUCGCUGCUCCCGUCGCCGGCGCCGCCUCUCCCCGCGCCUCGCGCCGCGCCGCCUUCCGCCGCUGCGCCUCGGGCGGCGCCGACCAGCACCGUCGUCGACAGCCGCCGCCGCGCAGGGCCCCCUCCGGCCGCUGUAGCCCCAGAUCCUGCGCGAGCCGACCUCGUCGUCCAGGGGUCGCCUCGAGCGCCGCCGCCGGGACCUCGCCCCUUCGGCCGCGCCGCCGCGCCUCCCUCGCCAGUGGCCGCCUCGCCUGCCUCGCUGCGCCCCGUGUUGCCCCCCCUCGCCGGCCGCCGCAGCACCGCCCGGCGCCACCGCUCGCACGUCCUGCUCGGGAGCAGGGCAACGGGAGCGCCUCCUCCUCCCGCGUGGGCCCCGAGCUGGCCCAGCCGGGACGGCCCACCUCCCUCGGCCUCGCCCAGCUCCCCGGCCCAUCUCCAGCAGAGCCCGUCCGGUCCAGGUGAGAGCCCCCCUCGAGCCUCUCUACCUCGCGCCCCAGGCGCCUCUUAGUGCUUUCGCGCAUGGAUUUCGGCCCAGUAGACAUUUAGGAGUUAGACCGAAUUUAAAUUCUUUUUCAGGGUUAGACUAGAAUUUAAACCCCUGUAACUUUUAAACCGUAAGCCGGUUCGAGACGUGUUAUAUAUCGUUUUGGGGUAGCUUCGCGAGUAGAACACGUUUAUCCAACAUGCAUAUUUAUUUAACGCUGUUUAGAGUGCCUAAUGCCUCGUUUUACGUGCUGUUUAACUAGGUUUCGAUCCGUAGUUAUUUUUCGCGCGUGUCCGGACUGCCCGUAUGCCAUAGAUUUAAUGUCCAUGUUUUAGGGACCAUAUUUCUACGUAUUUUAGAGCGGUCACUCGUAUUUUUCCGUGUAGGGUUUUGCCGGUAGUUUAUUUUCUCGUUUAGAGGUAUUAUCUCGCAUUAUUGUGUGGCGUUAUUUUGUGCUGCAAACCCCACAUAUUAUAUAUGUUUCCGGGGUAGAAAAAUCCCAUGGAUUUUUCUGUGCAAUUAGUUUUAGCUUUUGAGGAAGUUAGUUCGCGAGAUAUUUUGCCGUGAUGCCCUUUUGUUUAAUCCGUAGGUUUUAUUCCGGGCCUCGUUUGAAUUAGUUGUCAACUAGUGUUUUGAUCUUGGAUGUUUUGUUUAGUCCCUGCUAUUUUUGGUUGCAAUAGAAAUGCAUGUUUAGGUGUUAUUUGACUGCCCUCAAGUUGCUUGAAUAGUGCUGUUUCAGAGGAGCCGAAAUAUUUCUAAGUCUGGAAUCUGUUAUUAUUUUGUUGUUGUCUUGUCUUGCUUCUAUCUUGUGAUCUGUAUCUCUUUUGAGGUUGGUCCAAUGGAGUUAGUUGUUCCCCUUAUGUUUCUCUAGCAUGCUGUUAAGUUUCAUGCCAUUUGGAGACCUGUAGCUUAGGGCUUUGCUGCUGUCAAUAUUGCUUCAGGCUGAAAAGUGCACUUUCAGGAGGUGAUAUUUUCACUAAGUCUGAAAUAGUGCGUGAGAUGCCAUUUUGUGUCUUCUUUUCCUAGUGCUCCUUGCUGCCAAGCUAGUAGUUGUUAGUUGUUUGUAGUAGUGCGUCUUGCCCUCUUUCAUGCCGUGCCUUGCUUGAGCUCCUCGGAGUUGUGUAGCCGAAGUUGUGAGUCGUAGAAGUUGCUAUGUGGCUGUUUUGGGCAGAUUGUAGCGUUUUCUUGUUUUGCUCGUAGUUUCCGAACCGUAGCUCCGAUUUGGUCAUGUCCUACAUGAAACUUGCUUAGAAUCUCGUGUAGUUUCAUUUUCUCUUGCUGGUUGCAUGUGAUGAAGUGCUCGUAGCCGCCGUUGCACACAUUUUGCAUUCAUGCUAUCAUAUCUUGCGGUGCUUGCAUCUUUUGAACCGUAGCUCCGUGGGAGAUGUUCUUUACGUGUAGGUUGCUUGCCUUGACGCGUAGAAUCACGUGAACCUAUUUGUUUUGCUGGUUAACAACCAAUUAUAUGCUUUAGUUCAGAUCUGGUCAGAAUUGUAAAUUAACUUGUGAGGUCGUCUCGGAGAUGCUAUAUAUCAUUUCCGACCUCAUUUAAAAUGUCUAGGUAGGUUGUUUAAUUCCCGCUCCACCUCUUGCAUGUUUAACAACAUUAACAUUGUCGUGUAAAUAACCGGGAGUGAACUAAAUAACUACCGUGGAGUUUCGUCAAUAUGCAACUCGUGCAUAUUGAACUUCACUUAAUGUGUAGUGUUUGAUUGUGUGUUUUGUCAUGCCGUGACUUGCAUGUAUUCAGUAGCUCAUGCAUCAUAUGUGUCUUGCGUCGUGUGGUGAUUCUCGUGUGUUGAUGCUUGUUUCCGGUUUCCUCCGUCUCGAUAGAGUUCCGCAAGCGUGUCGGAUGUGAGGACCGUUCGACUACGUCGGUUCGUCUGCUUCACGGAGGCAUACUUCUUCCAAGCGGGAUCUCAGGCAAGAUGAUCAUUUCCCCAGAUACCACUACUAUCAUUGCCAUGCUAGUUUUAUCGCUUCUAUCGUUUAUGUCACGUUGCCUACCACCUGUUAAAUAUCAGCCUCUCAACAAUGCCAUGAUUACCUUCAACCUGUUCGACCUAGCAAACCACUGAUUGACUAUGUUACCGCUUGCUUAAUCCUGUUGAUAGCGUUGCUAGUUGCAGGUGCAUUGCUUCCAUGUGAAAGCAUGGGUUCCUUGUUAUAUCACCAUAUUAAAUGCUAUUUAAUUUAAUGCACCUAUAUACUUGGUAAAAGGUGGAAGGCUCGGCCUUUCUAGCCUGGUNNNNNNNNNNNNNNNNNNNNNNNNNNNNNNNNNNNNNNNNNNNNNNNNNNNNNNNNNNNNNNNNNNNNNNNNNNNNNNNNNNNNNNNNNNNNNNNNNNNNGUAAUUUGUGAUGGACUAGUUGGAGCACCCCUGCAGGGUUAAAUCUUUCGGAAAGCCGUGCCCGCGGUUAUGUGGCAACGUGGAAGCUUUGUUUAACACUGGUUCUAGAUAACUUGAAGUUAACUUAAUUAAAACAUGCCAACUGUGUGCGUAACCGUGACUGUCUCUUUCGUGAGUUCCUUCUCCGAUCGAGGACACGGUGGGGUUAUGUCUGACGUAGGUAGGUGUUCAGGAUCAUUCUUUUAAUCAUCUGUAGUGACGUCCUUUAUGCGUAGAUCUCCCCCCUCUUAUUUCUUGUACUCGUAAGUUAGCCACCAAAUAUAUGCUUAGUCGCUGCUGCAACCUCACCACUUAACCAUACCUCUCCCAUUAAGCUUUGCUAGUCUUGAUACCUUUGGAAAUGAGAUUGCUGAGUCCCCCGUGGCUCACAGAUUACUACAACACCAGUUACAGGUGCAGGUAAAGGUUACUCGACGUGAGCGCGUUGAUUGUUCAUUUGAAGUUGCUACUUCUUCUUCUUCGAUCUAGGAUGGGUUCCAGGCCGGCAACCUGGGAUAGCAAGGAUGGACGUCGUUCUUCUUUUGUCGUUUGUUUUCGUCUGUAGUCGGACCCUGCUCUUACUCCUGAUGUUUAUGUAAUGUACUGAUGUGACUCUGAUGUAGCUUGUGGCGAGUGUAAGCCAACCCUCUUUAUAUAUCUCUCCUUUUCAGUACAUGUACUUGUAACGAUAUCCAUUCUUGCGACACGACGAGAUGCGCUUCUAUCCCUGACGAGGCCCUCGUGCCAAAUUGAGGAUAGGGUCGCAUCUUGGGCGUGACAACCCGACUCGUGGUCGUGCUUCCCCUUAUGACCGAGGAUCCAGUGCCAACCCAUUUUGCUGGUGACGAGGUGGAGGAUAGGAGGCGUCGGAGCCAAGGUUUGACACGGGCGUGUCGGGCUCCGAGGAACUCCACAACUUCCACAUUAAGAAGGACGACGAGCAAAGGCGCUCUACGGCUGACAGACGGGCCCACCCCCAUGUGUCCCUUAAAGGCGAGCAGUGGGAGGUAGGUGGGCGGCUGCCACGCGACCCUCAGACGGACGCAAAGCAAACGCGUGGGCGUCCAUUCAAUCAUUUCGUGUACGUCUGAACACAAACCAGGAGAAUGUUUGCGCGAGAAAUGUGAAUGCUCACGCGAGUUGAGCCUUCUCAUCAUACCCACACGGUUUGGAGUUUUGCGUUGAAGUAUACCUGGGUAUUCUUCGGUCCGGGCCAAAAAAAGCCCCGUGAAGAAAACCCAGGCCCGAGCCCGGCCCGGCCCGACCGUCGGGCCUAAAUAUUGGGGCCAAGCCCGACCCAAACCGAAAAAAGCCCGACUGAGCCCGACAGGUUCAGCCCGACCGCGAUGUAAAAAUUGUUUUUGUCGAGCCCGAGCCCGACCCGACCCGACCGUUGGGCUCAAAUUCCAGGACCAAGCCCGGCCCGAUGGGACAUUUAGGCCCGGCUCGACCCGUGAUUUUCGAGUUGGGUCUGGUCGGGUCGUCCGGACCGGGUUGCCCAUGGCCACGUAUAGUUGAAGUUGGCCUUAGCCGACCCAAACACACACACACACACACACACACACAAAGACAAAAUCCGCGUCCGUGUUAACCUGAGAAAAUGCAUCGUCGAAGGCAUAACACGACACGUGCACUCCACUCCAUGCCUGCCCCCUCCCCUCAGGCCUUGUCCGGUUGCAUGACAAAUGGGUGGGAUUGACAUGUAUUGACAGGGAUUAAAUCCCAUCUAGGUCAAAUUCCUCCCAAAUUCCCUCCAAUCCACUCCAAUCCACCUGGUGGGUGGCUUAACCGAACAAGGCCUGAAGGUGCCUUUAGAGCAUCCCUAGUAGUACCCUCAAACCCUUAAAUUCUUAAAAAUAAUUGUUUUCUACAGCUUGCGAGCAAAAAAAAUCGCGUAGACUAGAACCCCUUAACCCUCAAACCCUUAAAUUUUUUUUGAGGAUCAGACCUUCAAACUCUCUCCCAACCUGUACAAGUGAGGAUUGGAGAGCAAAACCUACCCCAACCCUCACUUGCGAGCCAUCCGAGCGCGGAGGGAAAUUUCCUGUCCCCAAAUCCCGUUUGCGCCCACCCGAGCCGCCGCCAGCCGCCUCUCCAGCCGUCGCCGCCGUCCCGUCCCCCGGCCGCNNNNNNNNNNNNNNNNNNNNNNNNNNNNNNNNNNNNNNNNNNNNNNNNNNNNNNNNNNNNNNNNNNNNNNNNNNNNNNNNNNNNNNNNNNNNNNNNNNNNNNNNNNNNNNNNNCCCGUCCGAGCCCGCCCCCACCCCGCCCCCCGGCCGCCGCCCGCCCUCCGCCCGCAGCAGGCUGGACGCCUCUCCUCCACCUCCUCCCGCGCGCGCCCCCCGGCCGCCGCUCGCCCCUCCACCUCCUCCCCCCCGCGGCCUGCCCCUGGUAACCUGCGCCCGCCUGAUUAUUGUUUUCUUCAAACCGUUAUUGAGAUGAUGAAAAUUAUGAUAUGUGAAAUGACAGUUUUAAAGGCACCGUCCUGUUUUCCAACUAUUAAAAAUGUCAAAAAAAUGUCAAUUUUCAACUGUUAAACUGAUUUUAGGAUUUGAGCGCACUAGUAGCAGCGAUUCUCUUAUUCUUCUUCCCCACCCAUCCUCUUCACCCCCGCUCUCAUUCCCAUUCCCCGCACCCCUCAAUUGCAUCGGAGCAUUAUUUUUGCUAAAUGGUCCCUUCACAGGAUCUUAUGUAUGUACCAGAGCAUCUACAGCCGGCCCCUGGAUCUGGAACCCGAGUGGAUACCCAUCCCAUCCGGAUCCGGAUCUUGACCGACCCCUUCCCCCGCCGGCGACGAGCCCUAGCUAGCUCGGACCAGUCCUGGUGCGAGAGGCCACCGGCGGCAAGGCUGCGUGCGGUGGCGGAGCAUGCACUGCGAGCGCUCUACUCGGAUCUGACCGAACCCCGUCGCCGCGCCCGUCCCGCUCGCCGUGGCCGAUGAUCGCGCGCGUCGGCUGGGGCCGCGUCCCUCCCCAGAUGGCGGCGAUGAUGGAGGGAGCCGCCGGCACCAGCCCCCUCCCGCCUCGCCGGACCGCGCAUCGGCUUGGAGGCCCCUCGGGACUGCCGCCGGUGCGGGGGGGCGUCCGCGGCCUUGCGGGCUGGGGACCGAGCGGGAUCUGAGCCGCCGUCGAUGGAUUUCUCGCAGCCUGGCUUCGUUUUUCUUUGGAUCCGGUACGGUCCCCAUAUCUCUCUCUCUCUCUCUCUCUCUCUCGGAGUUGACACCACUAGAUCCAAAUCCUAAACCAAAUCAGGGGAGCUCUCGUUGCCGGAUCGCUGGCCUAUCGUCCGGAUGUCCGCCGCGUCAGUUCCCCACAGCUACGGUGCCGCCAGCCACCGCCGUUCCAUUGCCUUGGAUUCGGCUGUGCGUGUGGGCUGGGAACCGUUCUCUGUUGUCUGAUGCGUCGUUGGAGCGGGAGCUUUGGUCGGUCGAGGCCAGGUAUGAGCAUCCACGAAGGCGUAGAAGAUCGACAUCNNNNNNNNNNCGUGGGCUGGGAACCGUUCCCUGUUGUCUGAUGCGUCGUUGGAGCGGGAGGUUUGGUCGGUCGAGGCCAGGUAUGAGCAGCUCCUGAGCUGGCUGGAUGGAUGGAUGCAGGUCAUGUGUCGUGAACUAACACCACGAUACUUAGGCUGUUUGUAAUGGGAGUAUCAUAAGUAGGCAAUUUUGAUGAUUCUUCAUAGAAUUAAAUGAAGUUGAGUAUGUGUCAUGCAUGGCAAUAAAUGAACCACCCUAUGAUACUAUUAACAGAUUAUAAUAUGCAUUACGGAUGUAGUAUCAUAUGCAUAAUACUAGUAUAUGAUACUCUCUAUUACGACCAGCCUUAUCUGGAACGGAGGGAGUAUACUUUGGAACAGAGGGAGCAACUAGAGCCGACACCCAGCAACCCAGCAACCAAAUCCGGAGCCGUCGCUCGGACCCCGAGUCCACGCACCAGGCUGGCCAACGACACUGUCACCCACAUGGCCAGUGCUGGCAUCCCUCCACUCUCUCUCUCUCUCUCUCUCUCUCUCUUUAACCCUAAAACAAAUCAGUCAAGCUCUCGUUGCCAACUCGCUGACCCACCGUCCGGGUGGCUGCCACAUCAGUUCCCUGUUGCCACGGUGCUGCCAGCCUGCCAUUCCACUGCCUUGGAUUCGGUUGUGGCGUGGGCUGGGAACCGUAGAGUUUUGUUCCGAUGUGUCGUUCAAGGCGGAGGUUUGGUCGGCUGACGUUAGGUAUGAGCAGCUCCUGAGACUGUCUAAGUUACUCACCACUAUGACCAGUUUGAUGGAUGGAUGGAUGCUACUGUGUGAUGAAGGCCCUGUUUGGAUACUCUAACUUAGCUAGAGGUUAGAGGUUAAAGUUAGUGCUACUGUGUGAUGAAGGCCCUGUUUGAACGGUAGAGUUAGCAGGAUGGAUGAAUGCAGGUCAUGUGUCGUGAACUAAAGCCACGAUACUUAUCUCGAACAGAGGGAGUAUAUUUUGGAACGGAGGGAGUACAUAUGUAUGUAUGGAUAUCAUGGUCAUGUUGCUUUGGGGUUCAACCUCUUUUUGGAUUAAAAAAGAGGGGCGAUGCCGAUGAUGAUUACUGUGGCUGAAAUAAUCAUGUCUUGAGACAUCAAGACAGCCAUGGCGAGGUGGGACUAAAUAGUGCCUGAAAAUUGGUGUCUGUGUUGGAGUUGCUCUUAGAGCCCACCCUUACCUCUGUUGCAGCCUGUCCAAUUCAUCGCCAAUGUUGGAUGUUCUGUGCCUUGGACGGUCGUUCUGAUGAGUGAUAACCAGGGCAGUUCUCUUACAUUGUGAUGGGUGGAUUAUGCUGCAAGAGAUGUGAGUGUUGGGUUUGAAGAUGAAAUGCAAAACUGAGCCNNNNNNNNNNCUUGCUACGUUACAUAAACUCGGUUCAGUUGCAUUUUGUUCUGGAUCUGGGAUGGAUCCUCCUCCUCUCUCUCUCUCUCUCUCUCUCCCUCCCUGCGAAGAAGAAGAAGAAGAACAAACCAGUCAAGCUCUCAUUGCCGACUCGCUGACCCGUCGUCUGGGUGGCUGCCACAUCAGUUCCCUGAAUCUACGGUGCUGCCUGCCACUGCCAUUCCAUUGCCUUGGAUUUGGUUGUGGGGUUGGCUGGGAACCGUACAGUAUUGUCUGAUGUGUCGAAUGAGCCGGAGGUUUGGUCAGCUGAUGCCGGGCAUGAGCAGCUCCUGAGACUGAGACUAGUCAUAGGUGGGAGUAACUUAGGUUUUAGUUCAAUUUGAACUUGAACUAAAACCACAACAGGAAUUAUGUAACGGAGGGAGUAACAUACAUGCCACAUACGCAAAAAAGGUGGUGUGACAAGUAAUUAAAGAGGAUGGAUGGAUGGAUGUGUGCAUGCAUGUAAUGGGUAUCGUGGUCAUGUUGCUUGGUGUAUAGAGCCCAGCCGAGGGAUCAACCUCCUUUUUGGGAAAAAAAUGAGGGGCGAUGAUGAUGUCACCGGCCGACAUAAUCAUGCCUUGAGCAAUCAAGACAGCUGUGGUGUGUGGGUACUAAUUAGAGCCGGAAUCGGUGACCUCGUUGGAGAUGCCCUUAGAGCCCACCCUUACCUCUCUUGCAGCCUGUUCAAUUCAUCUAUGAUGUUGUAUGUUCUGUGCCUCGGACGGUCGUUCUGAUGAGUGAUAACCAGGGCAGUUCUAUUACAUCGCGAUGUGUGGAUAGCAAGAGAGUGAGUGCUGGGUUUGAAGAUGAAAGAUAAAACUGAGCCAUCAAUUUUUCACCGUUUAGUUGCAUCUUGUUUUGGAUUCGGUAUGGAUCCUCCUCACCUCUCUCUCUCUCUCUCUCAAACCCUACGCUCUCAUUGCCAACCCGCUGACCCAUCGUCCGGGUGGCUGCCACAUCAGUUCCCUGUUACUACGGUGCUGCCAGCCUGCCAUUCCAUUGCCUUGGAUUCGGUUGUGGCGUGGGCUGGGAACCGUAGAGUUCUGUUCUGAUGUGUCGUCUGAGACGGAGGUUUGGUCGGCUGACUCCAGGUAUGAGCAGCUCCCGAGACUGUCUAAGUUACUCACCACUAUGGCCAGUCUGAUGGAUGGAUGGAUGCUACUGUGUGAUGAAGAGAUGGAGUUCUUACAGGGGCGAUGAUGAUGACCAUGGCUGAAAUAAGCAUGCCUUGAGCAAUUAAGACUGCUGUGGCCUGUGGGUACUAAAUUAGAGCGCACCCUUACCUCUCUUGCAGCAAUUCAAUUCAUAGCUAAUGUUGGAUGUUCUGUGCCUUGGACGGUCAUUCUGAUGAAUGAUAACCAGGACAAUCCUCUUACAUCGCAAUGGGUAGAUUAUGCAGCAAGCUAUGUGAGUGUCAGGCUUUAAGAUGAAAGGCAAAACUGAGCCCUCUUUCGCUACGCUACAAAUAUUUGAUUUUACCUUCUUUAAUAUGCAUUGUUUUUUUUUNNNNNNNNNNNNNNNNNNNNNNNNNNNNNNNNNNNNNNNNNNNNNNNNNNNNNNNNNNNNNNNNNNNNNNNNNNNNNNNNNNNNNNNNNNNNNNNNNNNNUCUCUCUCUGUCUCUCUCUUUCCCCGCCCAGCAACAAAUAGCCGUAACUGGUAACUUGCUGUAGAGCAAGGCCUCCUAGUAUAACGACUAACUGUCUAACUGGGCAAAGUUGAAUGGAACCAAUCUCAGGAUAUGUUGAAAGAUCUCCAACACCAAAGGGGAGGAAAUCAUCAUAGCCAUUCAGAAAAGAAUAGAACUCAUCAACACACAACAGAAACAAAUAUGCUGUGUUCAGAAGACAUCAAUCCAAGUCCAGAUGGGCCGUUACUCACAUCAACACAAUAUAGAGGAAUAGAAAAAAAAANNNNNNNNNNUUGUGUUCAGAAGUUAAUUUGGACCACUAUGCUGAUGGCCGUAUUACUGACAAUGAAAGAAGCGAUUUACAUUUGUUCACUUAAAAUAAAAGGAGUAACUGCAAGCCAAAUAAAAAAAGGACAAUAUAAAUUUUCCAUUUUGGAACAAAAGAAAAACAUAAUAAGAUAGAUAUCCAAGUCAAAAACAAUAGUGUGUUCGACAUAUAUAGUUUGUACAACUAUACAAGCAAAAACAACGCCAGCUAUGUAUCCAUCUCGAAUCCAAAACAACAUGCAACUGAGCUGAGUAUAUGUAGCGUAGCAAAAGAGGGCACAGUUUUGCAUUUCAUCUUCAAGCCCAACACUCACAUCUCUUGCUUCAUAAUCUACCCAUCACAGUGUAUGAAAACUGCCCUGGUUAUCACUCAUCAGAACGACCGUCCAAGGCACAAAACAUCCAACAUUGGCGAUGAAUUGGACAGGAUGUAAGAGAGGUAAGGGCAUCCUCCAACGUCAAGAUCGAUUUUCAGGCAUUAUUUAGUCCCACCUCGCCAUGGCUGUCUUGAGGUCUCAAGACAUGAUUAUUUCAGCCACAAUCAUAAUCGUCAGCAUCGCCCCCCUUUUUUAUCGAAAAGAGGUUGAACCCCCAAGCAACAUGACCAUGAUAUCCAUAUAUACAUACUCCCUCCGUUCCAAAAUAUGCUCCCUCCGUUCCAGAUAAGUAUCGUGGUUUUAGUUCACAACACAUGACCUGCAUCCAUCCAUCCAUCCAUCUUGCUCAGGAGCUGCUCAUGCCUGGCCUCGACCGACCAAAACUCCAGCACCGACGAAGCAUCAGACAACACCGUACGGUUCCCAGCUCAAUCGCACAGCCGAAUCCAAGGCAAUGGGACGGCGGUGGCUGGCAGCACCGUAGCGGUGGGAACUGACGCAGUGGUCACCAGGACGAUGGGUCAGCGAUCCGGCAACGAUAGCUCGCCUGAUUUGGUUUAGGGUUUGGGUCUAGUGGUGUGAACUGCACGCACGCAUGCACCGAGAGAGAGAAUGAGGCUCUGUUUGAUAGCUCAGUUUUUUCUAAGUAUUAUAAGCAUACUACAGUUUUUUAGAAUACCAUGAUUUUAAUUACUGUGAGCUGUUUGGCAGCCCAAAAACUGUAGUAUGGCCAAAACUGUGGUAUUUUAUUUGUGUAAAAAGAAGAAUCCCAGAUCUGCGGUAUGCACAUUAAGCAAUAUAAAAAUCAUAUCGCUAAAAAAAAAAAAAGAACCCCAGACCUCUUUCUUUAAACAGAGCAAGCGAAAAGAGGCAUCGCACGCACACUUUAUUUUCUUCGCUGCUCCACCCACCGCUCCGCUCCGGCCACCGGCCCUGCUCCACACGCCUCGACUGCGUGCCAGAAGGUGGGCAAGCAGUCCCGUCGGCCAUUUCGUAGCUCCGCCUGCUGAGACACCUACACCAUGUUGUGAACCAUGCUCAUUGAUAAUCUACAAGUCUUGUGCAAGGCUGUUCUUCAUGCAUGUGGCUACCUGCUUCUACAGUUUGCGUGCAACGGCUUGACACUAUCAAACAGGUAGCCUGUAUUGCUGAUACUUCAAAAUUCUUUAAUAUGUAAAAACUGUGGUAAAUUAUGCCAACAGUCAAAAAUACUGUAGUUUUUCAAUACUUCGGUUUUUAGAAUACUUGUGCGAGAGAGAGAAAUGGGGAUCGUACCGGAUCCAGAGAAAAACGCAGCAAGGUUGCAAGAAAUCCAUCGACAGCGGCUCAGAUCCCGCUCGGCCCCCAGCUCGGACGGCCAUGGACGCCCACCCGCACUGGCGGCAGCCCCGAGGGGCCUCCAAGCCGAUGCGCGAUCCGACGAGGCAGGAGGGGGCCGGCGCCGGCGGCCCACUCCAUCCUAGGGAGGGACACGGCCCCAACCGAGGCGCGCGAUCAUCAGCCACGGCGAGCGGGGCGGGCGCGGCGACGGGAUGGCAAGCAUCAAUGGUGGAAGUUAAGGAGGACUACAAUGGCAAAUAUCAACUGAAAAAUUGAUAAUGGAUACGAAAAUUGGACCAAAAAACUGAAAAAUGGCAUCAAUAAGAAUCUGCUUUUAAAUUUGUUCAAUAAAAAGAUUUCACACCAUCUCACCUUUCCAGAAGGUGCACACAAAGAACCAAAGUCAUAGUUUUUUUUUUUUUUGAGACAAACCAAAGCCAUAGGUAAUGACAGGUUUCUUUUUCAAGCUACAGGCCGACAAUGCACAGAAUAUAUAUAACUUAAUUUUCACAAUGAGCCCAUGACCAUUCACAGUUGCCAAACGGGCAUUCUUCAAAUCAAGAAGAAACAAAGAAAAGUUAGUAGGGAAAUCAAGCUGUUUUCUGGAGGAUAUUCCAGAAGUUCUCACUGAUCAAAUUACUAUAAUCAAACAGUAGUAGAAGUAUCAAACACAGGUGUCAUAACAAACACAUGCACGAGGAAUAGUUCGUGAAAUCCAGGAAAAUUGUAGAGUAUUACUUGAAUGGCUCAGAUUUAACCCACCAUAAAUCACCAAAGUUGGACAACGCUUCAGGUAGUACUUGAAGCCUUAUGGUACCAAACAACAACAACAACAACAACAACAACAAAGCCUUUCAGUCCCAAACAAGUUGGGAUAGGCACGUGGAUAGCUAAUUUCCAUGCACCCCUGUUCAUUGCUAGUUCUUUGGUGAUAUUCCAAUCCUUCAGGUCUCCUUACCANNNNNNNNNNNNNNNNNNNNNNNNNNNNNNNNNNNNNNNNNNNNNNNNNNNNNNNNNNNNNNNNNNNNNNNNNNNNNNNNNNNNNNNNNNNNNNNNNNNNNNNNNNNNNNNNNNNNNNNNNNNNNNNNNNNNNNNNNNNNNNNNNNNNNNNNNNNNNNNNNNNNNNNNNNNNNNNNNNNNUUCCUAGUAUAACUACUAACUGUCUAACUGGGCAAAGUUGAAUGGAACCAAUUUAGGAGACAUGAAAGCAUCUAUAUCUCAGGAUAUGUUGAAAGAUCUCCAACACCAAAGGGGAGGAAAUCANNNNNNNNNNNNNNNNNNNNNNNNNNNNNNNNNNNNNNNNNNNNNNNNNNNNNNNNNNNNNNNNNNNNNNNNNNNNNNNNNNNNNNNNNNNNNNNNNNNNUCUUUUAAAAUGCCCAACUAUUUCUUAUAGUUGGGAAUAUUUUUUUCAGAAGGGGUCAAAAGCAUUUAUUAUAUUUUAUUUUUUGUUAAAAGCCUUUCUUUAUUUUAAGAUUUCCGUUUUAAAAGGAUUUAAAAAAACAAAGGGGGAGGACCCCAGGCCAAGGCCCAGCAGGCCAAGGCCCACGCCUCCCCUCCCCAGCCCUAGCGUCGCGAGCCAGCCCCUCGAUCUCUCCUCCCGCAGCGCCGUCGUCCUCAGCGCCAUCUCCCUCCUCUCGUUCCCCUGUGCCGAGUCCCAGCCCCGCCGCCAGUAGCUCCUCUGCGCCGCCUCCAUGGCCUCGGCGUCGCCCCUGCUUCCCAGGCCGUCGCCCCUACCUUGCCUCCGGUCGCCGCUCGCAGGCCCCGCGCGCCGCAGCCUCCAGCAGCUGCUCCGUCCCUUGCCCAGCGCCUCCCCAUUGCCGCCGCCAUGGCCUCCUCCUCCCAGCGCUCCCUCACGCCAUGGCCUCCUCCGUCCCCGUGCUCGCCAUGGCCGCCGGUCCCCUGCCGAUUUGCUGCUGCUGUGAAUGUUGUUGUUGCGCUAAGCUGUUGCGUUGCGUGCUGCCGAAGUUGUUGGUUCCUGCUGCCGCUGUUGCUGCGUUUGCUAACUGCUGAUGUUGCUCUGCUAGCUUGCCGCUGCUACCUGCCUGUUGCUACUGUGUCUGAUGCUGCUGCUUGCUGCCUGCUAUGGUUGUUGUUGCUUGCCAGGUUGCUGUGUUGUUGCCUGCUUUUGCCGCCUGCCCUGCUGCCGAGCUAGCUUGCUUGCCUGCUGCCCUGUUGCGUUUUGCUUGCUAGGGCCAUGUGUUGUUCCUUGCCGUGGCUGAUGCUUGCUAUUACGGCUAGCUGAAUCUGCUUGUUGUUAGUUGCUUUUGCUGUUAGGUGCUAGGCUAGGUUGCAAGCUAGCUGCUGCUUAGUGCUAGGUUGCUUGUUGUGCCAUAGCCGCUGCUUGUCGUAUUUGCAUUGCCAGUGCUAGUAGUUGUUGUCGUUAGAUGCCUUGAUGUAGAUGUUGUUGUUGUGUGGCCGCUGUCGCUGUCGUUGAAGACCGGUGCACCAUCCCCGCCACCGCGGCCCGAUGACAACUACGUCCUCGACAAACCCCGAACAUCGACGGAGACGUGGUCGACUACCGACGCCGAAGACCCGAGAACCACGACGCCGAGCGAACGACUACCGUCGACGAGACCGGUACCACGACUUCCAGGACGUCCACAACGACCGUUGUUCCCCUUCACUGGACCGAACCGUUCCGAUUCGCACGCGUCGAAGGUAUACCGAUGAGACGUGGCCGAGAACCGUAUGCAUGUGUUGUACGAGUUGAAUAUAUGUAUGCACCGUAUGUUUGACCAUUGCACGUUGUCCCUCUAUGUUGUGCCCGACACAUGGGAACCCGGUAANNNNNNNNNNNNNNNNNNNNNNNNNNNNNNNNNNNNNNNNNNNNNNNNNNNNNNNNNNNNNNNNNNNNNNNNNNNNNNNNNNNNNNNNNNNNNNNNNNNNGGAGUGGUUAUAACAACCUUGACUAAGUGUUACAUGUACUGGCUAAUACCCCCUUCAGCCGGAACGCCGUGGGGAAGGACGUUCAAGCUGUCCCGAAACUCAUGGAACACUUGAGACGGUAGGCCUUUGGUGAACAAGUCGGCAAACUGGGAGCUCGAGGGAACGUGAAGCACCCGUGCCUCACCGAGAGCUACUUUGUCGCGGACGAAGUGCAAGUCAAUCUUGAUGUGCUUCGUCCGUUGAUGCUGAACUGGGUUGGAGGCCAGAUAAGUGGCGCUGACAUUGUCACAGUACACCACGGUUGCACGAGCUGGAGGACAGCGUAGUUCGUGGAGCAACUGCCGUAGCCAACAAGACUCGGCCACGCAGUUGGCGACACCACGAUACUCGGCUUCCGCACUGGAUCUGGACACCGUUGGCUGCCGCUUGGAGGACCAGGAGACAAUGUUAUCGCCAAGGAACACGCAGAACCCGGAUGUAGACUUGCGGGUGUCAGGGCAGCCCGCCCAGUCGGCAUCCGUAUAUGCAAUGAGGUCCGUAGAAGAUGAUUUGUAAAGCUGAAUCCCAUAGUGUGAUGUACCCUGUAGGUAACGCAGAAUCCGCUUGACGAGGUGCAUGUGGGUAUCGCGUGGGGAGUGCAUGAAGAGACAUAUUUGUUCACAUUGCAUAGCUUUGACGAUGACAUUGUAUUGUGUGUGGACGAAAGUGAAGAAGCGUUGAAGGGUGGAGGAGGUGUCGGACUUGUUGCGUAGAGGAAACGACCACGAGUAGUGCGUAAAAUCGUCAAGUACAACCAGAUAGUAUUGGUAACCUGAGAAGCUUAUAACAGGCGGUGUCCACAAAUCACAAUGUAUUAAAUCAAAGGGAGCAAAGGUUUUGCUAAAGGAGGAAGAGAAAGGGAGGCGGGGUUGGCGGCCUAAUUGGCAAGCAGUACAAGGAGAGUGCGGGGCCUUAUUACAAGUGCUAAGAAAAUCAUUGGUAAUGGUGGACAUGGAGUGGGCGCCAGGAUGGCCGAGCCGGCGAUGCCAAAGAUCCGCCGAGGAGAUGGCGAAGAUGGAGGGAGGCGUCCUUUUGUUGUCGUAGAAUAGGUAGAGGUCGCCGUGACUAGCGGAGAUCAUUAGAACCCUCUGGGUGCGAAGAUCCUUCACAAUAAAACCAAAUGGGUAAAAUUCAAUAGAGCAAGAAUUAUCGCGAGUGAAACGGCGAACGGAGAUGAGGCUAGUGACGACCGUUGGUGAAACGAGUACGUCGGUGAGGCGAAAUUCGUAGGGGUGAAGUGUUGUGGAGCCGGAAGCGGUGACGGGAAGGUGGUUACCAUUGCCGACAAGGAUGCUUGAAGGUGUAUGCUUUAAAGAAUAAUUAUGCUUGGUCAGGUUACCUGGGUUUCCCGUCACGUGUGAGGACGCGCCGCUGUCGAGGUACCACUCUGGUGCAGGCCGAGAGGGGAACCCGCCACCGUUGUAGGCGGCGUUGAGCAUGGCGGCGUGCUCCCAUGAAGGACAAGGAGGUGGAUAGAAGGAUGGCGGUGGUGACGGGAGCAUAGGGUAUGCCUGCGCGUGUGAGCCAGGGCGUGGACCAAGGACGCCCGCAGCGUUCGGAGGAAUCCAGCCGGGCCGAGGAGGUGGCAGCGCCAUGCCGUACGAGGCGAAAUAGCCAGUUAACGGAGUGGCAGGUGGAGUGGGGUGGCGUCCGGAGUUGUCGCCGCGGCCGCGGCCACGGCCACGGCCGCCACAGUCACCACGUCCGCGCCCAGAGGGCGAAGGAGAUGGAUGAGGAGUGCCGCGGUCGCCGUGGGAAGCGUCAGAGGGCCGGUCGGAGGAGGUGCGUCCACCCGGAGUGGAGUUGGCGCCGGAGGGUGAUCCACCCGUCAGAGCGAAGGCCGAGGCGCUCUCGUCGGCCACACGCUGCGCUUGGGACUCCUCGGCGAGGGUGACACGGGAGAGAACCGUGUUGAAGGGGAGAUCCUGAUCGCCGAGAACGACGCGGAUGGUGUCGAGACGCUUGUCCAACCCGUGAAGGAAUUGGGUGGUGAGGUCCACCUCGGUGACGGCGUGAUCAAUAUCAGCGAGGCCGUCGGUGAGAAGCUUCAUGCGUCGCGCGUAUUCAGAGACGGAGAGAUCGCCCUGCUUGAGAUUGCGGUACUGGCGAUUGAGAGACAUGUAGCGGGCGACACGAUUUGCAAGGAAGAAGUCCUUGAUCUUGUGCCAGAGGGCGAAGGUGGUGGUGGCGCCGACGACAUGGUCACACAUCGUGUCGGAGAGGGUGGCAUAGAUCCAGAGCACGACAUGCGCAUCCAGCUCAAGGUAGGCAGGCGGGGCAUUGGGGGGAGGUGGUUGCUUGGUGAGAUAAGAGACGUCUUAGCGGAGGAGGACCAUGAGGAAGAAGGUCUUCCAUUUGUGGUAGUUAUGAUCGGCCGGAUUGAGAAGGAGUUUGAUGUGGUUGGUGAUGUGGUCGCCGAAGAUGGGAUGGCGUGGUGCGGCGGCAGGGGCAACAGGGGAUAUGGUGGCACCGGAGGAGAAGAGAGGGGCGAAUUGGGAGCCGGAGGCGGUGCCGAAGAUGAACGGGGGAGGUGUGGCAGCGGAGGAGGAGGACGGCAUGGCCGUGGGAGGUGCCGCGGCGAAGGAGGAGGAGCCCGGCGAGGUGGCGGAGCUCGUGGCGGCGGAGGACACCGGCGACGCAGAGGUGUCGGGGGAGGCCAUGAGGACGUGGAGAAUUGAUACCAAGUUGGAAUAUGUAUUGUGAUUCCUUGAACAAUGAUGUUACAAAGUGUACAAUAUAUAGACUUGGCUACCCCUAUUUGCGUGGCACGUAGGCCAUUUCCCCUAGUGAUCCUAUGAUAUAGGAGUGGUUAUAACAACCUUGACUAAGUGUUACAUGUACUGGCUAAUAGAAUGGCUACAGUAUACGUAAAUCACUCAACAGCAAACAGUUAUUUCUCGGAAUAAAUUGAGCUGGGGAUGAUCACGGCAGUUAUAGGGACCUCCGGGAUGCUGAACCCAGCAUUGAUCAGGCUCAGCUUGGCGAUGCUGAACCCAGCUGUCACCUAUAUCACGCUGAGGCCCGGCGGGAUGAUCAGGUAAGGCCAUUGGGCCCGUGAAUAUUCGCUGCCAGUCAUGCUGAUCUUGGCGAUGCUGAACCCAGCUCUCACCUGCAUCUGCUUGGAGAAGCUGUUGCUGGAGCUGGACCUCUCGCCGAAGUGUGGCAUCGCCGGCAUCGGCUUCCCUUCUACCAAUUUAAGUGAUCUAAUCGCCAAUGAUGUCUUCAUAUAUGAAUAGAGUGCACAUAAAUUUCAUGCAAGACAGGCAAUAAUCUUUACAGCUGAUCCAGGGAGUACGCGAGGAAGAGAGCUGGGAGGAGCAGAGGAGGGAGUACCCGAGGUGAGAGACACGGACGGCAGCGGCGACGGAUUUCAAUUUUUACAACAACAAAUUAAUUCAGGUGUUGUGUAGUGCGGGUUGAAAUGAGGAAACGGCAAGAGGGAAAGUGCAAAAAUGCAUUGGUUGACCGUCCCGCCAUGCUGGCUCCAUGUGGCGUCAUCUGAUUGGUCAAGGACUAAAUUUGCACCUCCUAUGCAAGUUCUAGGACUAGUUAGUCCUUUUUUGCAAGUUUUAGGACUAAACCAUCACAUACCGUGCAAGUUCUAGGACCUGCGGUGCUAUUAACUCUUACUUUUAUACAGCCUGCUUCAGUCGGGUACUGUUUGCCCAUUUUGAACCUGCCUUGACAAGAGUUCAUGUGUUGGUAUUGUAUACGGAGUACAAAGUUACAAACCCAAAGGGAUAAGAUUUCUGUCAAGUGCCGACGGCGAUCACGUCAAUCUUGGAACCGUUUCACACGCGCAUCGUCACUUUGUCCUUCGCCAACCUUCGCCUAUUCCGUAGUUCCUGCUUUGAGUUGCAAAUCUGAGCAACGGAACCGGUAUCAAAUACCCAUGCACUACAACGAGAUUUGGUAAGGUACACAUCAAUAACAUGUAUAUCAAACAUACCUUGUUUGGCGUUGGCCGCCUUCUUAUCGGCCAGAUACUUGGGACAGUUUCGCUUCCAGUGACCAAUCCCCUUGCAAUGAUAACACUCAGUUUCCGGCUUUGGUCCAGCUUUGGGUUUCUUCUUUGAAGGGGCAACAGCUUUGCCACUCUUCUUGGAGUUACCCUUUUUGCCCUGCCGUUUUUUUUGAAAUUGGUGGUCUUAUUGACCAUCAACACUUGAUGUUCUUUAUGAAUUUCUCACAUGAACCUCNNNNNNNNNNNNNNNNNNNNNNNNNNNNNNNNNNNNNNNNNNNNNNNNNNNNNNNNNNNNNNNNNNNNNNNNNNNNNNNNNNNNNNNNNNNNNNNNNNNNAUGGAUCAAGACUGGGAUUUGUCACUCCGUGUGACGGAGAGGUAUCUCGGGGCCCACUCGAUAAUACAACAUCACACACAAGCCUUGCAAGCAAUGUAACUUAGUGUAAGUUGCGGGAUCUUGUAUUACGGAACGAGUAAAGAGACUUGCCGGUAAACGAGAUUGAAAUAGGUAUGCGGAUACUGACGAUCGAAUCUCGGGCAAGUAACAUACCGAAGGACAAAGGGAAUGAUAUACGGGAUCAUACGAAUCCUUGGCACUGAGGUUCAAACGAUAAGAUCUUCGUAGAAUAUGUAGGAUCCAAUAUGGGCAUCCAGGUCCCGCUAUUGGAUAUUGACCGAGGAGUUUCUCGGGUCAUGUCUGCAUAGUUCUCGAACCCGCAGGGUCUGCACACUUAAGGUUCGACGUUGUUUUAUGCGUAUUUGAGUUAUAUGGUUGGUUACCGAAUGUUGUUCGGAGUCCCGGAUGAGAUCACGGACGUCACGAGGGUUUCCGGAAUGAUCUGAAAACGAAGAUUGAUAUAUAGGAUGACCUCAUUUGAUUACCGGAAGGUUUUCGGAGUUACCGGGAAUGUACCGGGAAUGACGAAUGGGUUCCGGGAGUUCACCGNNNNNNNNNNNNNNNNNNNNNNNNNNNNNNNNNNNNNNNNNNNNNNNNNNNNNNNNNNNNNNNNNNNNNNNNNNNNNNNNNNNNNNNNNNNNNNNNNNNNNNNNNNNNNNNNNNNNNNNNNNNNNNNNNNNNNNNNNNNNNNNNNNNNNNNNNNNNNAGCCCUUAGUGGGCUGGUGGGACAGCCCCAAGGGGGCCUAUGCUCCAAGAGAAGAAAAUCAAAGGAAAAGAAAAAAAAAAGAGGGAAGAAGUGGGAAGGGAGGGGGACACCUCCCACCAAACCAAGUCCAACUCGGUUUGGGGGGGGAGUCCUCCCCCCCUUGGCUCGGCCGACCCCUUGGGAGUCCCUUGGACCCCAAGGCAAGGUCCCCCUCCCUCCUCCUAUAUAUAUGGGGCUUUUAGGGCAGAUUUGAGACGACUUUCUCACGGCUGCCCGACCACAUACCUCCAUAGUUUUUCCUCUAGAUCGCGUUUCUGCGUAGCUCGGGCGGAGCCCUGCUGAGACGAGAUCAUCACCAACCUCCGGAGCGCCGUCACGCUGCCGGAGAACUCUUCUACCUCUCCGUCUCUCUUGCUGGAUCAAGAAGGCCGAGAUCAUCGUCGAGCUGUACGUGUGCUGAACGCGGAGGUGCCGUCCGUUCGGUACUAGAUCGUGGGACUGAUCGCGGGAUUGUUCGCGGGGCGGAUCGAGGGACGUGAGGACGUUCCACUACAUCAACCGCGUUCUCUAACGCUUCUGAUAUACGAUCUACAAGGGUACGUAGAUCACUCAUCCCCUCUCGUAGAUGGACAUCACCAUGAUAGGUCUUCGUGCGCGUAGGAAAAUUUUUGUUUCCCAUGCGACGUUCUCCAACAGUGGCAUCAUGAGCUAGGUUCAUGCGUAGAUGUCUUCUCGAGUAGAACACAAAAGUUUUUGUGGGCGGUGAUGUGCGUUUUGCCGCCCUCCUUAGUCUUUUCUUGAUUCCGCGGUAUUGUUGGAUUGAAGCGGCUUGGACCGACAUUACUCGUACGCUUACGAGAGACUGGUUUCAUCGUUACGAGUAACCCCCUUUGCUCAAAGAUGACUGGCAAGUGACGGUUUCUCCAACUUUAGUUGAAUCGGAUUUGACCGAGGAGGUCCUUGGAUGAGGUUAAAUAGCAACUCAUAUAUCUCCGUGUGGUGUUUGCGUAAGUAAGAUGCGAUCCUACUAGAUACCCUUGGUCACCACGUAAAACAUGCAACAACAAAAUUAGAGGACGUCUAACUUGUUUUUGCAGGGUAUGAUUGUGAUGUGAUAUGGCCAACGAUGUGAUGUGAUAUAUUGGAUGUAUGAGAUGAUCAUGUUGUAAUAGAAAUAUCGACUUGCACGUCGAUGGUACGGCAACCGGCAGGAGCCAUAGGGUUGUCUUUAUACUAACAUAUAUGCUUGCAGAUGCGUUUACUAUUUUGCUAGGAUGUAGCUUUAGUAGUAAUAGCAUAAGUAGCACGACAACCACGAUGGCAACACGUUGAUGGAUGAUCAUGGUGUGGCGCCGGUGACAAGAAGAUCGUGCCGGUGCUUUGGUGAUGGAGAUCAAGAAGCACGUGAUGAUGGCCAUAUCAUGUCACUUAUGAAUUGCAUGUGAUGUUAAUCCUUUUAUGCACCUUAUUUUGCUUAGAACGACGGUAGCAUUAUGAGGUGAUCUCUCACUAAAAUUUCAAGACGAAAUUGUGNNNNNNNNNNNNNNNNNNNNNNNNNNNNNNNNNNNNNNNNNNNNNNNNNNNNNNNNNNNNNNNNNNNNNNNNNNNNNNNNNNNNNNNNNNNNNNNNNNNNUUUUCUCACCUUCACUGACGAUUUAAGUAGAUAUGGUUAUGUCUACUUGAUGAAGCACAAGUCUGAAACAUUUGAAAAGUUCAAGCAAUUUCAGAGUGAAGUGGAAAAUCAUCGUAACAAGAAGAUCAAGUUCCUACGGUCUGAUCGUGGGGGUGAGUAUCUGAGUUUCGAGUUUGGUACUCACUUAAGACAAUGUGGAAUUGUUUCGCAGUUAACACCGCCUGGAACACCACAGCGUAAUGGUGUGUCCGAACGUCGUAAUCGUACUUUGUUAGAGAUGGUGCGAUCUAUGAUGUCUCUUAGUGAUUUGCCGUUAUCAUUUUGGGGUUAUGCAUUGGAAACAGCUGCAUUCACUUUAAAUAGGGCACCAUCGAAAUCCGUCGAGACGACACCAUACGAACUGUGGUAUGGCAAAAGACCAAAGUUGUCGUUUCUUAAAGUUUGGGGAUGUGAUGCUUAUGUCAAAAAGCUUCAGCCUGAAAAGCUGGAACCCAAAGCGGAAAAAUGCGUCUUCAUAGGUUACCCAAAAGAGACAGUUGGGUACACCUUCUAUCUCAAAUCCGAGGGCAAAGUGUUUGUUGCUAAGAACGGAACUUUUCNNNNNNNNNNNNNNNNNNNNNNNNNNNNNNNNNNNNNNNNNNNNNNNNNNNNNNNNNNNNNNNNNNNNNNNNNNNNNNNNNNNNNNNNNNNNNNNNNNNNAUAAAACUAAUCACACGACGGAAACGGAAAUAAAAGGGGGAAUCUUCUAGGCGUCAGUCUCGGGCUGUCACAGCUCUCCUACACUACAAGAGGAUCUCGCCCCGAGAUCCAAGUAUGAAAGGGGAAGAGGAUGAGAAAGAACAAGAGGUAAGAACUUAGUCGCUUCUUUGACAAACGAGUGAAACCAACGAUCCUUGAAGGUAGCAAAGAGAUGAGGAAUGAUAUGAGAAAGAAGCGAGAAUUCACGGAAAAUUUCGGCAACACUUUGGUAGGAAAAUGGGACAAAAAACUCGAUAAGAAGAGAGAAUUAGACAAUAUUCAUAACAAACAAGUAAAUAGAACAAGGGAACACCAUGAUCUUGAUAGAACAACAUAAUAGACCCAAAAGAACAACAUCACAAUGCCUUCGGAACAAGAGAAUAUGACAUAGCUCAUACGGAAGCAGAGAAUGAAGAAUAGAAUGACAACUAUCAUCACAAUUGAAUUGAAGAGCCUCCGGACAGAGAAUUGACGUAGUAGUUGGAAAACCAACAACGAAAAGAACAAGGUAGUAGUGGGUUUAUGAAAAUCAUCUCAACAAAUAUGAGGUGACAACCAACCACUACAAGAACCAAGGAUAGAUGAAAGCAAAGAUAUCAAAACUUCUUACACCAAGAGGGUGCACUGAGAACUGGGAUUAAUAACAAGCACCAUGAUAGCACAAUCCAUAGGAAAAGCUUUAGGUGAAGCCUAAACCAAGAUAGCUCAAUGAAGAAACCAUGAGUUAAGAAUAAUCUCAUGAUCAAAGGAUUGAUGGAUUUAACUAUCUCAUUCUUGAAAGGAAAUCUCUUCGAGGCUCCUACACUAACAAGAAUGCUACAAUACCACCUCAAAGGAUAAAGGAGAACAAACGCAUUGGAAAUGCAAGAGAAAGAAAACAUGAGGUUCUCCAAUAAGAAUCUUGAAGAACACUUGAGAAUGGAUUGAAACCUUGAUGAACCACCAUGAAGGACCUCCGUAUACAAAUGAAUGAUGCAAAGAUAUGAAGGAAGAAAGAAUAAGAUUAUGACCUUGCCAAGAUUUAGAUGAAGCUUCACAAAGAGAUUCUUGAGAAAACUUGGAACUCCGGAAAAGAAAAGAUAAUAACAUUUGAGAAAAAGGAAUUGAUAUCAUGAGGCACUCCGAAAGAAGAAUUCAGAUUACUAUGAACAAGAAUAAGAAUUAUGUUAUGCUUAUACUUCAUCAAGUUUAAUUGAUGACAAGAAACGGAUUUAGCAUAGCACUUAUCCUUGUAGAAAGAACUUUAAGAAAGAGGGAGAUAUGCACCACAUGAAGCAUAAUGAAGGAAGCACCGGUGAGAAUCGGAUUGAAUGGGGAUACCAAGAAUUAAUGGAGAUACAUGAGAAUGAAGAGAUCAUGAUCCACCUGAAAGAGAACUUGAACAAGGCACCGGAUAAUUGAGAGAUGAAUGAAGAGACAACAAUUGAGAAGAAUUGAGGAUGAAAGCUGAAAGCUGAGAACAAAGAAUCUUCUGAAAUGAUGGCCUUCGGAGGAACGAGAAAUAAAAACAACUCAAAAACGCAUCGGAUAGCAAGAAAGAGAUUAAUCAUGAUUGGAACAAAUAAGAUGAUGGCACAAAGCUGAAAUGAUGAAUCUUAAAAAAAAAGGACCAAGAUUUGAGAGAAACACUUCUUCGAAUUGCAAGCUGAGAAUGAUGACGAGAACAACACCAAGAAUUACCGAGACACUCCGGAAUAGAGAAAAAUGAAAGUUUGAGCCAAAUAUGAGAAUUAAUUCGAAUAUAACUUGAAGAAUUAAAUAUGACUGAUGGAAAUCAUACUUACGUCAUAGUUGAAAGAAUUAGAGAUCUUUGGGAAAGAUUACAAAAGCCAGAUAAGAUCCUGGGAAAGAACCUGUGGGUUAUGGGCCCACUCAAAGAAACCACCGUUGGAAAAGAUUACUUGGAAGAGAGAUAUUGCACCGGUAUGACGAGAACUAGAUGAGGUUGAGAACCUCGAAAUAAUUAAAAGAAUUGAAAACAAGAACUUCUAAGAUAUCUUAAAUGCUGCGGAUAGAAAAGAGAGGAAUGAAUAACCAAGAUAGGCUGAAAAGAAUCUCCAACAUGAAAAAGAAUUACAAGGAUAAUUGGGAUAUGAUGAACACGGAUAGCUGAAUUAAAUUCACCGGUAAGGAUGAUAAGAAUGAACAAAUAUGACACGAAUCUCCUGAGAAUCUUCACAAUGAAUCACCGGGUAAGAGAGAAAAGAACAGACAUCGGAAGCACAAUGAAAAGAAAACUCUUGGAUGAAAAUUGAACCACUGAGAAAAGGGUGGGAGGGCGGGGAAAAACAAAUACAACUUGAGACAGAUGAGAUAACUCCGGAAAGAACUGAGAGAAUGAUGUGCAAAAUUAGAGAGGAUUGAAUUCACUAAAAAGAAGCACACCGCUUAAAAAGGAAUUAACAUGACGACUUCGGUUAACAAGAAUUGACAAGACAACUGAUUGAGCAAAAGGAUUAGCAUUCACAUAAAAAUAUGAGAACCCCUCUUGGAAAGGUCUGAAAUCACCACUUGAAAUCGAAGUAACACAAAUUUGUUGGAAGAUCGUCCUAUAAGUAACUACUUGAAUUCCCACCUAAGAAUUCCCGAAUAUCUAGUCAUGCAAUCUGGUACACGGAUACAAGGAGUAAUAAUCACACAACUCCUAUACUAACCCGUCACCUGUAUCACAUCCGUCAACACACAACCAGAACCUCGGACCUUCAUCUACAACAGACCCUCAUGAUCACAACGAUACAAAGUAUGGCAGUACUCCCGAACAAUCUGCACCAGUACUGGGGACAUCAGGGUUAUCUCGCCACUACUAGUAUUGAAGCAAUUACAAACAUCCUUCGUUCUGAGAUACUAAGAAAUCUGAAUGAUAACGAUGUGCUCAAGAAUCCCCUGGAGCUCAACUCCCCUGAAACUCAAAGCAGAUAGGAGGCACCAAGACAAAAC
rnacentral:lncRNA from 1 species